UAUGUUAGUAUACGUAAGUAAAGAAUUAGCGUACGUAGUAAUCCGUCCGAUGCAAUAAAUAGAUAAUUGAAAAAAAAAUAAAAAACACCGAUAAAAAAAAAGAAAACGGCGAUAAAAGAAGCGAUGAUAAAAGAUGAGAUUCAUCUUGUCGAUUAACGAAGAUAACAGCCAAAGAAAGAAGAAAAAAGAGUACUUGAGCUGAUUCGGUAAAUAAUGAAGAAAAAGUUGUCAUGUGGCAACUUUAAGAGAAAUAAUGUAUAGGUAUAGAUGUUAUAACUUGUCGUAUAGAUUUUAUGUUACUUGAAUGAUCAAGUUAAUAAGAAAUGAUUUAAAAGUACUGACCAUACAUCGUGUAAUUGACUAAAGGAUUUAAUGGUUGGUAUUUUAUGUAUCUAGUGUAAUUGGUUAAAGAUUUAACUGUUUGUAAUUUAUGUCCCAUGUUCGAAGCCUGGCUAGCUAUGUAUUUCACAUUUAUUGGUCUUUUACUUUUUAAAAAAUAAAAUAAAUGAAGUGUACAGCAGACUACCUUCCACCCAAAAACAAAAUUUAAAAAUAGUCUUAAUUACACUUCUGCUUAUACGCAUGCAGGUGGAAAUCAAAAGUAAUGCACUAACAAAAGUAAAAAAUAAAUAGUAAUUCCCUAAUAAAAGUUUAGUUUUAAAAAAUAAAUAAACAAAGUGAAUAACAGGCUAUCUUUUUCUCAAAAAUGAGAAGUCAAAACAAGUACUAAAGAUAUUGAUUAGAGAGAUAACAAAAGGAACAUAAUUAUAAAUUUAUGUCACUAAAUGUAUAAAAUAUAUUUUAUUAUUUUCUAUCAAAUAUUUGAUCUUUUCGAUAACAAAAUGAGUAGAAUAUGGCGAUGUUAAAUAUAUAUUGAGAUCGUCUUCUAUCAGAUUGAUCAUUUGAAUAACAUAAUUUUUAAAAAAUUACUGAAAAAAAAUUUAUGACUUAGGGUGUGUUCAUUUGACCGUAAAAUAUAUUGAAACUUAUAAAUUACUUUCCAGCUAGAAGAAUUAUUUUCCGUAUAUUUAUUUAGGCGUAAAAAUUUUUUCAGAAAAAUAUUUUUACAGAUUUAAGAAAAAUAAAGUAUUUUGCUUUUACUGAUUUUUAGCAAAAAAACGAAAACUCAAGCCACAAUUUUUAUUUUUUACUGUUUUUUUAGCAAAAACGAAAACUCAAGCCACUUAAAUUUUUUAUAUUUAUUUUUUUAAUCAAACUAAACAAAUAUAAUUUUUUUUUUCUUUCAGCCAAAUAAACACAAACGAAAAAUUAUUUUUUUUUUACAAAUCAAAUGCUAUAGAAAGCAAAAAAAAAAAAAAAAAAAUUCNNNNNAAAGCAAAAAAAAAAAAAAAAAGUUUUCAUCAAAAUUUUUUAAUAAAAAAUAUCUUUUAAAAUUUUACAUAGAAACAAACACUCUGGCUCAAAUAAUAUAUUACUAAGAGAGAUCAAUCUAACUAAAAACAAAACAUAUUAAGAAGGACACUCUCAUGAGUCCAAUGGUGGGGGAGGGGAGGGGUAUAUGAUUGAGGGGGAAAUUAGCUCUUACUAUGAGUCCAUCCCCCACGUACGCGCGCCUAACUCACGUGGGAGUGAUGGGCACGCAGGAGACACGGCUCUGAACCUUUGGGCCUCAUUUAUUCCUCCUGUCCCCUUGACUAUACCUUCCCCCUCUCCUGGGUUUGGUAACAGCAGGUUGUUUCUAGCUUAUAAUUAACUUGCUUUUGCUUAAAGUUUGAACUAAAUAUUUUCAUACUGAUCCCUACAAAUAUAAUAAAUAAUAAAUAUAUUUUUAUAAAGUUUAAUAUUCAUAUAUUGCUUCUAUAAAAAUUCUGAUGGUUUCAAAUAUAUUCUUGUCGUUAGAAAAAUAUAGUUAACCAUAGAUUAAAUACUUAAUUCUGGUUAAUUUUUGACGUUUUUACUCCUCUUAUAUUAUACUUUUAUGACUUUUGGAGGGACAUAUUUGUGAUUGCAAAAUUGAAAAUAUAAACAGUUCUCUAAUGGUUGUCUAAUAGUAACAAACCAAAGUACAUAUUUGAAAACAUCGAUUAGAACUUUUGCAAUAACAACAUAUCAAGGUUUAACUUUGUAGAAAUAUAUUUGUCAUUUACUAUAAUGCAGGGACCUGUAUGAAAUUAACUCAUAUAUAUAUAUGUAUAUAUAUAUAUAUAUAUGUAUAUAUAUAUAUAUAUAUGUAUAUAUAUAUAUAUAUAGAGAGAGAGAGAGAGAGAGAGAGAGAGAGAGAGAGAGAGUUAAGCUGGAAUACUAUUGAUAGCAAACGGCUCCCGUUGCUAUCCAUUUGUUUUCGAUGAUAGGACCUCCAAAUCGACAAUCGGCACCGUUGAAUAUGAUCUAUACCACUUGAAGCGUAAAACUAAAUUUCAUACUUUUUCGAUAUUAUUUUGUUGUCCAUCAUGUGGACACAAAAAUAAACAGUUGAAAAUGAAUAUUCUUUAAAAGUGAUGAUAGGAGUCUUGUAAUCAAGAUCGAGAGUUUAGAUUUUGUUCUAAAUAGUUUAAAGAAUUUUCUAAUCAAAAUGAAAUUGAUUUGGAUAUCUUUACACCGUCAAAUGAGAAAACGCCUCAUAUCAACCGUUAAAAUUACAAAUUUUGAAACGCUUUGAUCAUUAAGCCAAUGAUAUUGAAUGUAGUGUCCCUGGUAUUUUGAUUUGCCUGUGAGGUUUCAGUAUCUGGGGCUUGUCGACACAUCUGGAGAGUGUUGGGACAAGUCGGAGUCGUUUUGGCGCGAAAUGGAUGCAAAACGGACUCAACGCUAGAUGAGAGUGGAGUUCUAACGCUGAAAUCCGUAAAAUGUAGGAUUUCAGUGUUGAGUACCGGUACCAUACAGGGGAGUACCGGUACCCCAGUGUAAUUCCAGAAUAACAUGCUCUCGGGUUGCGCCAAUUUGAUGCUGAGUACCGGUACCGCAUCGGGCUAGUACUGGUACCCGGUGUGCGAGCUUACGGGCUGAGAGGCCGAGUACCGGUAAGCAAAUCGGAUACCGGUAUUCCAGCUGGAUUUUUGAGUUGGUGAGGGGUAUUGUGGUCAUUUUGCUGCUGGAUAAGAUCGCCACUUACCCUCCCUCAUAUUUAUCAACCCGACCAGCUGAGAAGGUAUACUUCUCCUUUUCCUUUCUCUCUCUAGUUUUGAGCGUGUGCAUGGUGGAGGUCGCGACUCGAGCUGGGGAGAUUUUCGACGUCGAUUUGGAGGGUCGUUCGAGCGUGCAUGCGUCGCGGUUGCGUCGUUGGAGACCGGCGAGUGUGUGAUUUUCUCUCCUUUCGACUUCUCGCCAUGGUUGGAUGAGCUUUUCGAGGUAGGUUAAUGUUAACCGAAAUUAUUGGAAUACCUCCUAAGUUUUAGCAUCAUCGACAUGAAUCAUUGGUUUAUUUUCUUGCUAUUACUCGAAUUCAUAGAUUAGAGGUAAAAUCUGAAUUUGGAGUUAAGCUAAUAGUAUAAUUUUACAUGUUGGCCUUGAAAUUGACUUAGAAAAAAACAUAUAGAUCCUACACUGUCAUUUUCUGAAAAUUACCAGAUUUAGCUUUAUGAGCUGUGGUUCUUUUGUAUCAUCGAUGUUAGUAUGCGAUGGAUACCCAGAUUAGUGUAGGAUGAGUUUACACUCCUGCUGGGAUGCCGAGCUUAUUUUACAGUAGUGUGUAGACUGUUUCGGACUAUCGGGUGCCGUCGCGGUUGACGGUGGACUCAGAUUACUGUUUGUGCAUCAGAUUAUGCCAAGGGCACGUGAGUUUUGGUUGUAGGACCAGUUAGACCCAUUUGCUUUGAUUAUAGCCUGUGAGAGCCUGAUUGAGCUCGACAGAGACUCGCUUGCAUACUCGGUUGGAUAGCGCCAACAAGUGCCACUCCGGAGUCGGACUUUGUGCGUUUGCGUUGAUGUCGUAGUAUCCGAGUUGGACUUGCUCUCCACCGACAACCCAGCGUGGUGGUGGUCGGUGUAGCUUCGACAGGGGGGACGAGUGCGUUCACAGUCCCUAGUGAGAUUGGGUCAGAGAGUGUAUUUCUAUAUCUACAGAGAGUGGUUAACGAUAGUAUAGUAACAUAUAGCUGUAGAGUUUUAUCAGCAUCCUUUACUAUCCUUGUACAUACUUUCUGUAAACUUAGUGAGUGAGUCAUUGAGGUCGGUAGCGGUACCCACUAAGCACUACUUCUUUUUGCAGUAGUUCUCACACCCAAUUGUUGACCCCUUUUUGCAGUCUUUUUCUGCGGCUGCUGCUGUCGCUGAUUCUGAUCGUCGAAAGGGAGUCGCAAGUUAGAUCCCUUCCAGCUUUAUUGCAGUACUAGAGAAGUACCUUCCACAGGUAAUUUUGGGGCUUUUUGUACAUAUGGUCUUAUUAUCUGGGUACUCGCUGAAGCGAGUGAUGUAAUAAACAUUUUGUAUGUACUGGAACCCCUCGAGGUUAUAUAUAUAUAUAUAUAUAUAUAUAUAUAUAUGCUACUAUACUAUCAAUAAUACUAAGCCCUUGGUAUUAUUGAGUUUUCGGCCGUUGGAUGAAAAGAUGUGCGGUUCGGAUGAUAGUGGUCCCCGGUUAAAUUGAUAGUGGUCCCCUAGGGUUGACUAGGUGGUUGGUUUAAUAGUAUAAUCUAACGGUGGAAAUGAUCAAAGAGUAGAUCUAACGGUAAAAAACUCAAUAGUACCAAGGGCUUGGUACUAUCGAUAGUAUAGUAGCCGGACUAUAUAUAUAUAUAUAUAUAUAUAUAUAUAUAUAUUAUUUUCAGUUUGGGGCAAUUGCUUAUAUACCCUUGAAAAGUUUCCGACUUUCCGAUUUAUCCCUCUUAGAAGGCUAAUAUUGAAAACACCUUUUCUACGUUCCAACCUAUUUCUAACAUACCCGUAGAGUUAAAAUCUGUUAAUUAACUAUAUUAUCUCUAUAAAAUUACUAUUUUGCCCUUUCAAAUAUACCCUUCCACCAUUACUGACUUUCUUAUUUGCCCUUAAAGUCAAGGGCACAAAAAGUAUUUUGACUUUUAGUCUUUUCCAAUAUACCCCUCUACCGUUACCAAUAUUUAUUAUUUGCCCUUAAGUUAAGGGCAAAAUUGGUAUUUUAAUUUUUUUUAACUGUAAUAGAUAUUUAACUCACGUUUAACUCAAGUUAAUUUAACAGGAGAUAACUGCGGGGGUAUUUUGCCAUAACGAUGGAACAUAUGAGAGGUAUUUUAGAAAAAAAAAAAAAAGUAAGGAUAAAUCGGAUAUUUUCAAACAUAUAAGGGGUAUAUAGGUAAUUAUUCCUUUCAGUUUAACAGCUCUUUACCUUGUAGUUGUAGCUUGAUUUUGCUUACAGAUACAGCUAUCGCUUCGUAUACAGAAAAAAUUUCUAUAUAUACGGCGGGUCUGUUGGUGUGCCCGGAGAAACGUGUAAUCCGGGACGUGACAUUGAAAUGAUUUGAAAUUUAGUUUCUAGAUACUUCAAGUAGUAUAGAUCAUAUUUAACAGUACCGAUCGUCGAUUUGAAAACUCCAUCAUCGAAAACAAAUGGAUGGCAACAGAGUUCGUUUGCUACCGACCGCAUUCGAGCUCAACUCUCUCUCUCUCUCUCUCUCUCUCUCUCUCUCUCUCUCUAUAUAUAUAUAUAUAUAUAGAGUUGGACUGGGCACUAUUAUAGCAAAAUCCCAUUAUUGCUACCAGUUUUUUACCUUUGGAUCAACUCUUUUCCUCAUUUCUAACCAUUUAGAUUAAAUGCUAUAACCAAUGGAGACCACUCAACCCUAGGGGACCAACUCAACUCUAACUGACUAAUAAUCAUCCUAACCCUACAAUUUUUCAUCCAAGGGCUAAAAACUUGAUAGCAAAAGAGGAUUUUACUAUUAUAUAGUAUUCCAAUCUAAUUUAAUAAAUAUUAUACAUAUAUAUAGAAUUAGGUUAGAAUACUAUUAAUAGUAAAACGCUCUUUUUGCUAUCAAGUUUUUAACCCUUGGAUGAAAAAUUAUAGGGUUAGGAUGAUAUUAGUCGGUUAGAGUUGAGUGGUCCCCCAAGGGUUGAGUGGUCCCCACUGGGUUAUAGUAUUUAAUCCAAUGGUUAGAAAUAAUGAAAAUAAUUGAUCCAAAGGCUAAAAAAUUGGUAGCAACAAUAGAAUUUUGCUACUAAUAGUAGCCCAGUCCAACUCUAUAUAUAUAUAUAUAUAUAUAUAUAUAACAAAGCUUCAAUUACAUGUAUCCUAGAGCAACAAAUUCUCUAAACAUUUAUUGGUCCGCCAUGCAUAUAUCACAUUCGGAAUCGAAUUGAAUAGGAUAAAAUAAAAUAAGAUAAUAAUAACAAGAGUAGAACUACUGUCCUAGCUAUUAGAAGCACAACAAUCGUUAUAUUCCUAACUUAAUUUCUAACCAUUCAUCAAUUUUGAUGCGUGAUUAGAAUGAGAGAGAGAAGAGAAAUUGAAGAGUAAUUCAAAGAGAAGAGAAAGUGAGAAACCUAGUUUCUCUCCAAUUUUUUUCUCUCUCACAUCCUAACCAUCCAUCAAAAUAGAUGAAUGGUUAGAAAGUUAGAAGUAGAAAAACUAUUGUGCUUCUAAUAGCACAGUAGCCCUACUCAUAAUAACAAUAUUGAGAGAAAGAUAUAGCAAAUUUGAGGUAUUAGGAGCCUGUUUCGUUCAGAAAUAAUGAAGAUUGAAAUGGAAUAAUUUGCUAUUGUGAAAUAAUUAUGAAUAAAAGUAAAAUUAUAUUUAAUUUGUAAUAUUGCUAUCCUCAUAAAUAAUUUAAAUUGUGUUUGGUUAAUUUUUUGAAAUAGUGGAUAAUAGUGAAAAAAACUGAUUGUUAAAUUUCAUAUAAAAUAUGAUUUAACAAAACUAUUUUCUUAUAAAAUAUGAUUUAGAAAAAUAAUCUGUUAUAAAAAUAAUUUAUUUUUUCUAAAUUCUAUUGCAACUUAAAUUUAAUAAAAAUAAUUUAUUAUAAUUUUCAAGUAUAAUAUAUUACAAUAUUAUAAUAAUAAUAAUAUUAAGGGAAGGAUAUAGAAAAUGUAAGGCAUUAGGAGCCCAUCUGGCUCGGGAAUAACGAACAUAUUAGGAUUAAUUUUUUUAGUUUUUGAAAUAAUUUACUAUUCUAGAAUAGUCAUAAAUAAAUGUAAAAUUUUGUUUGAUUUAUAAUGUUGCUAUUUUCAAGAAUAACUUAAAUUGUAUUUAGUUAAUUUUAUUGAACAAUAGAUGAUAGUGCAAAAAAAUGAUGGUGGAAUUUGAUAUAAAAUAUGAUUUAAUAAAAAUAAUUUCUUACAAAAAUAAUUCAUUACAAUAUUUAAUAAAAAUAAUUUAUUAUAACAUAUUAUUUAGUAAAAAUAAUCUGUUAUAAAAAUAAUUAUUUUUUUCAAAUUCCACUUCAACUUAAAUUUAAUAAAAUAAUUUAUUAUAAUAUUUAAUAAUAAAUAAUAUAUAUUAACAUAGUACAAUUAAUAAUUUUAUAUUAUAUAUAAUUUAUAAUAUAUUAUGUUUAUAUAAUUUACUCUAAUUCAAUUUAUAAUAUUAAUAAAACAUAGAAUAAGACCUUAAAAUAGAUAUUCCGAGCUAUUUUAUUCCAAGCUAUUCCGAGAUAAUCGGAAAUAGCUAGAUUUGACAGGAAUAUUUUAUCCUAGCCAAAAAUUAUUUCUGUUUUUUUUUAGGGAAAACACGUCGUGAGGCGAUUUUAUUUAAUUAAUCAGUAGAUACAGACUGAGAAAAUUCAUCAAUAGAAGACCAAAAAAAAAGUUUUUUGCGUGCGAGUCCCCAAGUAGCCAAAAAUUAUUUCAUUUGAUGAAUAGCAUAGAUAACUUUUGUUAUUCUCGCAUUAUUUCCAAAUCAAUUAAACUUGGUCUAGAAGUUUUGAUAAAGAAAAAAAAUUAAUUAAACUCUCCUUAAUUCAAUCCUCAAUUACCACUCAAUCCAUAAAACUUAGAAGCAAACCCUAUUUCCUCUUAAUAUUUUUCUUUAUCUUCUUUUAUCUAACCCAAUAUUUUAUAUUAAAUUUGCAUACUAAGAAAUGGCGGUGAUAACAAUGUUCCAAGCAAGAUGUGAGUGCUCACGGUAUUGAUAGCGACACAUCGCAGUUGCACCUAAAAGAUUGUCACACUAGACCAAAUUGCUCCUCCAAUGUUUCGUGCAAUAAAGAACCAUACAUUAUUUCUAUUCGUAUUAAUUGUUAAUAUAUAUAUAUAAACUUCUUAUGAUAAAAAAAUAUAUAUAUGUUCGUAGUUAAUGGCUUAAAAAAGAUGAAUUUAUUUAUAAAUUAAUCAACAUUAAUAAUAGUAAGGAAUUACGCACCUUAAAUUGAAUGCACAGGUACAUUAUCAUGUUUUAUUAAAAUAUUGUUAUCAAUCAAUCAACUGGAUAAAGAAUUUUGUAGUGUCCAGCAGAGAGUCUUUUUUGCGAGUCCCACGCCACCUAAGAUUGCUCCAAAAGCAACCUAACUUAACUGUACACAUAGGUUUUAUGAUUAUUUUUCAGGAUGUUAUUUUUAUGAAUUGUUUAUAUUUAUAUAAAUAGAGUAUGUUUUCUGUAAUUUCGAAAGCACGAGGUUAUAUAAACAUAUAAUUCGACGAUCUUAUCCAUUGGACGUAAUCUAUGCUAUUAAAAUAUAUAUAGUAAAUUCAAACUUAAAUAUGAUUAAUUGGACUAUAUUUAUAAAAUUUCUAACAUCAAAAGCAUGCAAUAUAGGUUUUUCGACAUCAUUUAACUUACGAUUAAAAGAUAUCUGUGACACCCCAACUUCCCAGGGGUCACACAUCCGAGGACUACUCUCGUCCUAGCACGUUUAACUCUCUUAACCUCUUAAUUAGGUGUAGCCACUAUCCAAAAUGCUUAAGUCGGGUUAAGAGUGAUAGCCCUACUAUAUCUUAUAUAUAGGACUAUAUGGGAUCUCAAAUUCCUCCCCAUUUAAGGCAUGACGUUCUCAUCAGGCUCAGACUCAUAAGUAUCAGGCGAUGUGAGACUCGUUUUACUAGCUUUGUUAUUCCGACCUUGGCACAACCGAGACUCAUCUCACACUUCCGGCUGGUAAUUGGCUCUGAUACCAACUGUGACGCCCCGACUUCCCAGGCGGUCACCCAUCCUAGGACUACUCUCGUCCUAGCACGCUUAACUCUCUUAAUCUCUUGGGUCUAGCUACCACCCAAAAUGUUUAAGUCGGGUUAAGAGUGAUAGUCCUAUUAUAUCUUAUAUAUAGGACUAUUUAGGGUCUCACAAUAUCAAAAUUGAUAAAUUUAAACGACUGGUACGUAUGAGAUACUUGCUAAUUUAACGGUGUAAAAAAAUUGAAAUCGGUUGAAUUUAUGAUAGAAAAUUCUAUCCACUAUUUAGAUAAAGAUUAAUUACUCCGAUUUUAAAUUGAAACAUCCGAUUCUCUAUUUUAAGUGGUCAUUCGAUUUUGACCAUUCAUUUUAUGCCUACUUGAUGGAUUUUAUUAUUAUUUUAAAAAAUUACAAAAUUAGUUUUCUCGAAAUUAUAAAUGCUUUAGAUUAUGUUUAACAGUACGGAUUAUCGACCCGGAAGCUCUAUCAUCGAAAACGACUUAUGCAUGAGUAUGAAGGCCUCCGUACUUAUAAGAGUAUAGUAGCGCUACUCUAUAUAUGUAUAUGUAGGUUAAUCAAUAUUUCAUAUAGAUUUAUUAAUAUAUUAACAGCAGCACAUAAAUCCUAAGAGAUUAGAGAUGGUCUAGGAACCCUUUAAAGAUGAUUAAUUCUUAAGAGAAGAUUGACAGCUAGAAGCAAAUUGGAGACUCAGAUGGACGGCACAAAGUGUUUCCUACUAAAAUUAGGGUUUUAGGAUAAUGUAAACUCUUAUAAUUAAUCUUUUAGAGAUAAAAGUUUCAUUGUAGACCACCUAAUUGAAAAUAUAUAUAUAUAUAUAUGAAGAGUUGCUAAGAGAGAGUUUUAUGUUAACUCAAUUUUACUUUUUAUACAUUUUUGCAUCGCGGAUUAAAUGAAGAACGCAUUGAGGUGGUCUUAUCUAUGGACACGUAAACUCUGUCUUAUUAUUUUCUUUUGCUUGCUUUAUUGUUUUGUUAUCUUCAAACCUUUUUUUUUUUUUUUUAAAUCGUUCUCGUCUUUAUAUUUUUUAACAAAAAAUCUUAUUUUUACUGUACAUGUGUGCUGUGUGACUUUGAGAUGUAUUCGGUAACCCUUUCGAUCGGUCCCUUCAUCUUUGUAUUAGUACACACUAGGGCCAAAAUAAUCAACCAAAUGGUAUGUGAGCAUGGGUACAUAUACAUAUGUGCGUUGCACAGAGCACUAGUACACAAAAGUCUCUUUCACUUUUGAAGCACAGGCGUGGGUUCAUCAUUAUUGGGCGUGAGAAAUAUGAUGUGAUGAUGAUAGUUCAUCGAAUUGGAAGGAAUAUGUGCCCUUUACUAAAAAGCUGACAUGUGAACGGCUNAUAUAUAUAUAUACACACACACACACACACAAAUAUACACUAUAUUUGUAAAAUUUUUCUCUUAAAAUUUAAAUUAUGUAUUUUUUUAUACAACGAUAUUUUACGUGAUUUAUGUCACGCUCCGGAUUUCUCAUAUCCCCGGGCUCGCUAACAGACCCGCCGUAUACAUAGGUAUUUCCUCUGUAUACAAAACGAAAAAGUAGUACAUGUAAUCAUACAAUACUACAAACAGUAGUAUAGAGCAGCUAGGAAAAUAAACCAUAUAUAAAAACUGUGGUUCAAUACAUACAUGUGAUUCAGGUAUACAAAUACUCGCUCUGACGAGAUAACAACAACUGUAUGUAAAGACCCAAAAACUACAACUAUCUGUAGCUAGUGCUCCUCUAGCUCUGCGACUCGACUGGNUUUGAAGUACCUAAAAAAUAAAUUUUGCGAUUUUUCGAUAUCAUUUGCCUAGUGAUCGAAGGGGCUCAAAAUCAAUAAUUUUAACGGCCGUGGUGUGCCGGUUGCAAGUUUAACGAUAUAGAAAUAUCCAAAUCACAUAAAAGUUUGAUAGAAAAUUUUUUAUAUCAUAUAAAACAAGAUCAAUAACUUUGAUCUAAAAUUUUAAUGCCAUAUCAUCAUAUUUUGUAAGAUUUUUAUUUUCAGCCGUUGAUUUUGAGCCACUUCGAUCACUAGGCAAAUAAUAUCGAAAAAUCGCAAAAUUUAUUUUCUAGAUACUUCAAAUACUCUAGAUCAAGUCUAACAGAGCCGAUCGUCGAUUCAAAAGUCCGAACAUCGAAAACAAAGUGGAAGCACGGAGCCCUCCAUGCUUCCGUAAGCAUCCUAGCCGCACUCAUAUAUACCAGUGAAAUACCCGCGAUGCUGCGGAUAUAAAAAUAUUUUUACAAUAAAUUUUAUUUUUUUAAUAUUUUUAUAUAAUUUUAUAAAUUUAAUUAUUAAUUAAAUAAAAAUUAUAUAAAAAUAAUUUAAUAGUUAAAUCUACUUAAAUAAAAGUCAUUAAAAUUGGUAUAUGCGCAAGUAAAUUGUGAGAUCCCUGGUGUUCAGUUGUGGAGGCUUGUCGGCAGCUCUGGAGAGUGUCGGGACAAGUCCUAGUCGCGUUGGCGUCAAAUUGAUGCAAAACGGACUCUGUGCGACGCGAGGGCGGCUUUCAGCGAAGAAAUCUGCAAAAUAGCAGAUUUUCCUGCUUGUUGUACCGGUACAGCCAUCAUGGCGUACCGGUACACUAUACUGAUGCCGCGCAAUCUGCUCUCGGGUUGCUUCCUGUACCGGUACGCAAUCCCGUGUACCGGUACACCAGGGUAGGUGAGAGGGUGUUUUGGUCUUUUCUCUCCCUCGUUUGUAUCACCAGCCCUCUCUCUCUCUAUUUAGCCUUGUGAGGACAGAGAGAGGGAGUUCCUCUGUUGCUACUUCCUCUCUCUCACUCUCCAACAGAUCUUAGGCUAGGGAGGAUCUCGGUUGGAGCUUUCGUUGCCGACGUCGCGCCGCGGAGCCGUCCGGGGAUACGGUUGCUGCCGUUACAACGCGAGGAGGCCGGGCGAGCGGAGGUUUUCAUCGUUUUUGCUGUCGCAGCAGUGCCCGGUGUUGUCGAGGUGAGUGUCUGUUGGAGGAAAAAUUCUAAAAUGCAACGAGUAUAUUAGUGACGUGGCGUAACAAACCAAUCAAAUUAAUCCUUUUAAGAAUAUAUGUCCCAUCAUGAUUGUAAAAAAGUAUUUUUAUUGUACUUUUGUUUAAAAAAAGGAAUGUGAUUGGCUUGUUAUUGAUGAUGUGGUGCAAGUGUGACAGUGUAGAAUUCCUCCUGUUGGAGUGGCUUCGAUUAAUCCGGGUAUCACCGAAUUAGAGCUUAAGUGCUGUUUUCGCAGAAUUUCACCGUCGACUGUUUGUAUUUUUGGCUCGUUCUCGACGUAGGAGCAUCGGAUUGCGACGAGACUUGGUUCGUUGGAUUCAGGACUGCGAGAGGAAUCCACGAAGCCCUUACUUGCUGGAUUUGGUGAAGGUUAGCUUGGUCGAAUCCCUGUUGUACCUCACUGCUGAAAUUCGGGACUGAAACGGUGAUUUAUUGUCGUGUAGAGCUCGAGCGUGGACGAUUUCUGGACUCGGAGCUGUGCGUGUGAUCCAGCAAGUUGCUCGACACCAGUGGGAGUCCUUCGCUGCCANCAUACAAUACUACAAACAGUAGUAUAGAGCAGCUAGGAAAAUAAACCAUAUAUAAAAACUGUGGUUCAAUACAUACAUGUGAUUCAGGUAUACAAAUACUCGCUCUGACGAGAUAACAACAACUGUAUGUAAAGACCCAAAAACUACAACUAUCUGUAGCUAGUGCUCCUCUAGCUCUGCGACUCGACUGGAAGGGCUCUAACUUGCGACGCCCUUGCCACGAUCAAGAUCAGCAACAGCAGCAGCCGAAGGCGACGGCUCUACAAAACAGUGAUAACAACUGGGCGUGAGAACUACGAAAGAAGUAGUCCUCAAUGGGUACCGCCCUCAAACUCAUCGGUCCACUCACUAAGUCUACAGGGAUAAGCAGGAAUAGUAAAGAAAGGUGGAACAAAUCUACAGCUAAAUACCGCUAUACUAUCAUGCUCUAGCUCUAACUCUCUGUAGAACAAUGUUAACUCAUGACUCAAUCUCAAAUAAGAACUAUAAUCAUACCCGUCCCUGGGACUGUGAACACACCCGUCCCGCCUGGUUGCGACUAUACAGCUACCUCCACACUAACCAGUCUGUGGAGAGCAAGUCCAAUCUGUACGAACGACACCAACGCAAAAGUACAGCGCCCGUCUCCGGAGUGGCACUCGUGGGAGCUAUCCAACCGAGUAUGCAGCGUAUCUCUAUUGAGCUCAAUCAGGCUCUAACAAGCAAAAGUCAAGUAGCUAGGGUCAAAACAAGUCAAGAAACCAAACCCACGUGCCCUCAGCACAAUCUAAGACCAAAAACAGGAAUCUAGGUCCACCGUCCACCCUGACGGCACCCGACAAUCCGAAACAGCCUAGACUCUACUGUAAAAAUAAACUUGGCAUCCCAUCACGAGCGUAAAUGCAUUCUAAACUAUCUCGGGUAUCCACCGCGCUGAAACAGCGAUGAUACAAUUAAAUCACGGCUCUUAGAGCUAAAUCAGGUAGUAGAAUCAUAUGACAGGUCGAAUCGCUAGUUUUCUCCUAAGACAAGUUCCAAGUCCAACAUGUAUAUUUAUCUAAUUAAUAAUCAUGCUUCCAAUUCAGAUUUCAUACAUGCUACAAUCAAUGAAUCUGAGCGACCACAUGAAAUACAAGAAUCGAAAUCAUACAUGUCGACUACAUAAGCACUUAGGAGCGAAACCGAUGAAACGCCUACCUCUAUAGCAAAUCCCUGGCAGCAAGGAGGUCACGAACCACCAAGAAGCUGAGCCGCACCUGCUCUCAGCCAGCAAUGGUCCGCAUCUAAGAGCUAAACAUUAAUUCCACUAAAAUUUAUCAAAACCUUCAAUUUCAGCACUUAAGCUAACUUUAAUCCCAAUUGAAAUGUCAAAACUCACCUAAUCACAUCCAAAUCUGGUGAGAAAGGUCUAAAAUUCAGUGGAAUAUAUUGAGAUAUCAAGCUAAGGGCCAAAAUCCCACUGCCUCCAAAGAUAGCAUCAAAGAAAACUCAUAAACUUGAAAAUCUGCCGAAAGCAACAGCAGUAGAGAAGAACUUGAGUUCGACCAAGCUAGCCCUCACCAAAAUCUACAAUAUUAGACUUCGACCAAGCUAGCCCUCACCAAAAUCUGCAAUAUUAGACUUCGUGGAUUCCUCUUGAAGUCUAGAAUCAAACAAACUAAGUUUCACCGCAAUCCGACCUUCCUACGUCACACACGAGCUAAAACACCGAAGGUCGUCGCUGGAAAACUACAGAAUCAGCACUCCUCAAGCUGAAUUUGUGGACUUUUGAUACAAUUUGAGUGAUUUGGAGGGGUUGAAAUGCAUUUGUAAGCUUCCUUGUGAGAAAGAGAGGAAAAGAGCUUACCAGGGGCAUCUCCCACCUAUUUAUAGGAUGAUCAAACGGUCAAAUAAGCCUCAGGAAUAUUGGAUACAAACCUACACUGCUGCAGAAAAACCAAGUUGUAAGCGCCCUAAACCAAGUUCUGGGUGCCGAGAACUUCCAGCCUGCACAAACAGCCCUCUUCUGUUCCUCCGCCUGCGGUGUGUUGCACCCUUAUCCUGGUCCGGCGGACCUCACAUACCACAAACACGUGUCAACGCCAACGAUAUUUCCAAAGUAACUUCUAGACCCACUUCUGGGCGCCCGGAACAUAGGAUCCGAAUUGGCUUUCAGUUUUGCUCAAACCAGCACUCAAGAUCUGAGCGCCCUAAACCAAGUUCUGGGCACUCUAAACUGGAAAAACUCCAGUUUUGCUUAUUUGAGUGCGCCGAGUCCAUUUCUGCAUCCAUUUCGUGCCGAAACGAUUCCGACUCAGUCCGACACUCUCCAGACGUGUCGUCCAGUCACUAAUAUUAUAGCCAAUCCUAUCCAAACCUCUGGAACGCUACAAUUUAAAUUGCAUCUAUCAAGUUAGAUUUUAUUAUGCUAUUUAUUACGCGUAUUAUUAAUAAAAUUAAUUAAUUAAUUUUAAAGAGUUUAGAGAUUUAAAUUGAAGUUAAAAAAUUGGAAAUAAAUAUUAUAAACUUUAAAUUUUAAAAUUUAAAAUUUUAAAAUUUGAAAUUUAAAAGUUUGAAAUUUAAAAUUUAAAAUUUAAAAUUUUGAAAGUAUCAAUAAUUUAAAUUUGGUAUCAAAAUUUAAAUUUAUAUAAAAAUAUAAUUAUAUUUAUAUAUAGAAGUGUGUCUGGAUAUGCUUCUGGAAGCACGAGCGCUACCGUGCUUUCCAAGUUGUUCUUCCGAUGUUCGGACUUUCGAAUCGACGAUCGGCUCCGUAGAGCUUGAUCUAGAGAAAUUUGAAGUAUCUAAAAAAUAAGAUUUUGCGAUUUUCGAUAUCAUUUGCCUAGUAAUUCGAAGUGGCUCAAAAACAACGGCUGAGGAAAUAAAAAUCAUACAAAAUAUGAUGAUACGAUAUUAAAAUUUUAGAUCAAAGUAUAUUGAUCUUGUUUUAUAUGGUAUAAAGAAUUCUAUCAAAAUUUCAAAUGUGAUUUGGAUAUGUUUACAACGCGUUAAAACUUGCACCGGCUCACACACGGCAUUAAAUUAUUGAUUUUUGAGCCCCUUCGAUUACUAGCAAAAUGAUAUUGAAAAAUCACACAAUAUUUUAUUUUCUACGGUACUUUCAAUGACUCUAGGACAACUCUAACGGGCACCGUCGUCGAUUCGAAAGUCCGAACAUCGAAACACAACUUGGAAGGAAGAGAGGGCUCCGGCCUUCCAUAACAUCAACCAGCCCACUCUAUAUACUAGCUAUAUAGUAUAAUAUAAUAUAUCAGAUAUAUAUAUUAUAUAUAUAUAUAUAUUAUACUAUAGAAUUAGCAUACUAUACUUAUCACUAGUACCAACCUGUACUAUGUGGACCGUUUGGCGUUGGAUGAAAGAUAGGUGGCGGUUAAAGAAGAUCAGUGGUCCUAGGGUUGAGUGGGUGGAUUGGUUUAAAAUAAUUAUCUAACAGCGUGAAAAUGAAUCAACCAGGGUAAGAUCAUAUACGGUAGAAAAACUUAAUAGUAUCGAAGGGCUUGGUACAUCAUAGAGUAGUACCCGACUCUUAUAGGUAUAUAUAUAUAAUAUUAUAUAGUAUACGAGAGAAGAGCAGAGAGAGAGAGUUGAACUAAAUACUAAUCGCUAGUCUAACCACGAGCCGUUUACUACGAUUGUGUUUUCGAAUGAUAAAACUUCCAAAUUGACGAUCGCUCCGUUAAAUAUAAUCUAAACAUUUAAACACAUAGAAAAUCAAAUUUCACGGCACGUUGAAAUAUGUUCUUUUAAUCCAUCAAGUCAAAGAAAAGAAUGGGCUGAAAAUGAAUACUCUUCUAAAGAAAUGAUGAUAGGAGUCUUGUAAUCAGAGAUCAAGAGGAUGAGAUUUCUAUUUAAAUAGUUUUAAAAAAAUUUUCUACAAAAUUCAAUUGAUUUGGAGAUCGUUACGGCCGUUAAAUCAAGAAAACGCCUCUUAUACGACCAUUAAAUUAAAAUUUUCUGAAACGGCCUUGUAUCAUUAGCAAAUGAAUGUCGAAAAGAUUUGGAAUAUUUGAUUUCUAACACUUCAGUGUAUAAAUCAUGUGUCAACGGAGCCGAUCGUCCAAUUUGAAGUUCUAUCAUCGAAAACAAAUCGUAGUUAAAAACAGGCUCGUUUACCUACCUGAUACGUAUCUACAAAACUCUCUAAUACUAAUAUAUAUACUCAGCUAUAAUACAUAUACCUAGAGAGAGAGAGAGAGAGAGAGAGAGAGAGAGAGAGAGAGAGAGUAGGGCUGUUGUGCUUUCAGGAGUAUGGAGGCCUCUAUGCUCCUGAGCCGUUUUCGAUGAUGGAAUUUUCGAAUUGACGAUCGGCUCCAUUAGACUUGAUCUAGGGUAUUUGAAGUUUCUAAAAAAUAAUUUUUGUUAUUUUUUUAUAUCAUUUACCUAGUUAUCGAAAGGAUUCAAAAUCAAUAAUUUUUAAUGGUUGAUAUAUGCCGUUUUCAAGUUUAACGGUGUAGAAGUAUUCAAAUCAGAUGAAAUUUUGAUACAAAAUUCUUUAUACUAUCUACAACAAGAUCAAUAUUUCUGAUCGAAAAUUAUAGUGCUAUAUCACCACUUUUUAUAGGAUUUUUAUUUUCAGCCGUUAAAAAUUAUUGACUUUGAAUCCUUUCGAUUGCUAGGUAAUGAUAUCAAAAAAUGGCAAAAAUUAUUUUCUAGAAACUUCAAAUACGCUAGAUCAAGUCUAACGGAGCCGAUCGUUGAUUCGGAAAUUCCAUCAUCGAAAAUGGCUCAGGAGCACGGAGGCCUCCUUGCUCCUGAGAGCACAGCAGCACUUAUAAAAGCACCAAGCACUUAUUGCUUGUAAAUUUUUUACCUUUAGAUCUACACCUUUGAUCAUUUUUACCCGUUAGUUUGUACUAUUGAACCAACCACCUACUCAACCCUAGGGGGCCCACAUAUAGAGUCCAGCUAUGGUGCUAGUAAAAGCACCAAGCACUUAUUGCUUGUAAAUUUUUUACCUUUAGAUCUACACCUUUGAUCAUUUUUACCCGUUAGUUUAUACUAUUGAACCAACCACCCCCUCAACCCUAGGGGGCCCACAUCAUCCUAACCACACAUCUCUUAAUCUAAGGGCCGAAAACUUACAUGUACCAAUGACUUGGUACUUUUAAAAGCAUAGGAGCUCAAUUCUAUAUAUAUAGAAUUAGGCUACUAUACUAUCUCUAGUACCGGAGCUCCGGUACUAUAGUCUUAUUUUCGAUCUUAGGGUGUUCAAAUUAACGAUCCACACCGUUAAUACCCUAGAUCAGUUUUAACGGUGUGGAUCGUUGAUUUGAACACCCUAAGUUUGAAAACGAAACUAUAGUACCGGAGCCCCGGUACUAUAGAUAAUAUAGGAGACUAGUUCUCUCUCUCUCUAUAUAUAUAUAUAUAUAUAGGCUAAGACUAUUAUAUUCUUAAGAGUAUAAAUUUUUUUACACUCAUAAAUUUUUGAUCGUUGGAUGACGAGAUAAGGUGGUUAGGAUGAUAAUGGUCUUCUAGGAUUGAGUGGAUGGUUGGUUGACUUGUAUGAUCUGAUUGAGUGGGUGGUUUUCUUGACUAGUAUGAUCUAAUUGAUGGAAAUAGUCNAUAUAUAUAUAUAUAUAUAUAUAUAUAUAUAUAGAGAGAGAGAGAGAGAGAGAGAGAGAGUUGAGUUGCAAUGCUAUCAGUAGCAAAAGAGCUUCGUUGUCACUAAUUUAUUUUCGAUGAUGGAGCCUCUAAAUCGACGAUUGGCAUCGUUGAACAUAAUCUAUACCGCGUUAAGUAUCUAGAAAUCAAUUUUCAAAUAUUUUCGACAUCAUUGGCCUAAUGAUCAAAUGUUUUCAAAAUUUGUAAUUUUUACGGUCGAUAUAAAAUAUUUUCUCGUUUAACGAUGUAAAGAUAUACCGAACGUCCCUAGAGCAAGUGGCAAAAGGCUUUGUGGUUAUUACCCGAGACCCAGGUUAGAAUCCUAGUUGAUUCAUAUUUCCAGCUAAGUUUAUUUCUAAAUGAAAUAAAUAAAGCGGGUAGCGUGCCACCUAUCUCUCAAAAAAAAAAUUUGAUGUAAAGAUAUUCAAAUUAAUUGAAUUUUGACUAGAAAAUUUUUUAAACUAUUUAGAAAACGAUCUAGUUGAAUUUUUAUACUUAAUUAAGCUUGACUUUUUAUUAAAUUGAAUGGCUUUAUUAAUUGUAAAUUGUUAAUUGUUUUAGUUUUUACUUGGUAAAUUUUGUUACAAUUAUCAAUAAAUCUAAUAAAAAUUUAAAAAACUUUAAAAGUACUUGAGAAAGCUUGGAAAAAAGAAAAAGAAAAAUAGUUGGGGACAUGAAUUUUUACCUCCUCAUCAAUAUGUGACCUACCCUAUGCUACCCUAACCCAUAGCUCAUAAAAAUGAUGUGACGUUUUGACCAGUACCACAUGUGCACUCAUGGAGAUCUGAAAAUUAAACCACCUAGGGAUCUGGUAUUUGUAAUAAAACAAAAAUUUACAAAGAACCAUACAUCUAUGCACCACUUAUACAAUUUUAAAGAAAUUAUUUUAUAGAUCUUUGUGCUUGGCAUUAUUUUUGAAUUAUUUUUUACUCGAUAAAUCUAGGUACUGAGUUCAAUUUUUGCUUUACGAUUUAAAGUUAUAAACUCCGACCUCUUCACCACUCAUGUUCUUUUUUAUUCAUAAUAACUAUUAUCGAAGAAAAAUUCAAAAUCUAAAUGAUAAUAAAAGAUAUAUAAAUGUUACAACGAGCACACAAACAAAAAUGAAAACAGCUAUUGUAAAAUAAACAAACCAUAAAGUAGUAAGGAAAGAUAGAACAUAAAAAUUUACGCGAAAAAAAAAUUUCAAAGAAAAAUCACGAGCGAAAGAGAGAACUUCACUAUAUGAAAAAAAAAAAGAAGGUAUAAUCUUGUGGAGAAAUAUAAUAUGCGAUAUAUUGUCUAGGGCAAAGAAAAAGAAAACUGAAAUGUAAUGGAAAGACCUCCACAUCUGACCCGUUUGUUUCUUAAUGGGUUCUUUCAAAAUUUGAUCAGAUUUUUCUUUUUCACCACAUAUAAUUUUUUUUUUUUAAUUUAUCACACCGCAAAGCUUUCGGCAAAUAGGGGCACAAAAUCAAACUCGAUAACUAAACUUUGAUACAAAUCUAAUAAUAAUUUAGCAUGUUACCCUUUUAUUUACCCUAGAAAGGCCUAGAUUCCAUUAUACAAAAAGAAUCACAAUUUGUCUCCCAGGAAAGCGUGCUCACAAAAACCUAGCAAUGCAUGGCUGGCAAACACUUAGUUUGUCUUACUAAUCACUUAUUUAAUCAUGCAUUAAAUCUAAAGUUAAUCUUAUUCCUUUCCUUAAACCGAGGAGUCAAUUUGUCCUUGUGUAUAAAUUUAUAUGUUUCAAUUGCUUCCAUUUGGAUUAAACAAAGAUAUAUAUAACAUCUAAAACCAAGGGCUAGGAAGGUACUUCUUAAUUACUUUCCCCUUGUUUGAGGAAAUUAACCACCAUGAGAGGGACCUUUUUUGGCACAUUGUAGUUACUUUUUUUUCAAAUGUGAUUAAGUGAUCAAUUGCCCCAGGGAUUCUUAAAUUUUUUGCGCGGUUUCAAUUUAGUCCUCAACCUUAUACAUUGCAAUCUUGUUCUUUUUAUUAGAUUUGUCCAAUAAAUUUGGCAGAAAUAAACGCGUAUGUGCUAAGUUACGUUUACAUAAGAGACGGUUGAACUUCUCAUUAGCNAGAGAGAGAGAGAGAGAGAGAGAGAGAGAGAGAGAGAGUUGAGUUGCAAUGCUAUCAGUAGCAAAAGAGCUUCGUUGUCACUAAUUUGUUUUCGAUGAUGGAGUCUCUAAAUCGACGAUUGGCACCGUUGAACAUAAUCUAUACCACGUUAAGUAUCUAGAAAUCAAAUUUCAAAUAUUUUCGACAUCAUUGGCCUAAUGAUCAAAUGUUUUCAAAAUUUGUAAUUUUUACGGUCGAUAUAAAAUAUUUUCUCGUUUAACGAUGUAAAGAUAUACUGAACGUCCCUAGAGCAAGUGGCAAAAGGCUUGGUGGUUAGUACCCGAGACCCAGGUUAGAAUCCUAGUUGAUUCACAUUUCCAGCUAAGUUUAUUUUUAAAUGAAAUAAAUAAAGCGGGUACAGUGCCACCUAUCUCUCAAAAAAAAAAUGAUGUAAAGAUAUUCAAAUCAAUUGAAUUUUGACUAGAAAAUUUUUUAAACUAUUCAGAAAAAGAUCUAGUUGAAUUUUUAUACUUAAUUAAGCUUGACUUUUUAUUAAAUUGAAUGGCUUUAUUAAUUGUAAAUUGUUAAUUGUUUUAGUUUUUACUUGGUAAAUUUUGUUACAAUUAUCAAUAAAUCUAAUAAAAAUUUAAAAAACUUUAAAAGUACUUGAGAAAGCUUGGAAAAAAGAAAAAGAAAAAUUGUUGGGGACAUGAAUUUUUACCUCCUCAUCAAUAUGUGACUACCCUAUGCUACCCUAACCCAUAGCUCAUGAGGAUGAUGUGACGUUUUGACCAGUACCACAUGUGCACUCAUGGAGAUCUGAAAAUUAAACCACCUAGGGAUCUGGUAUUUGUAAUAAAACAAAAAUUUACAAAGAACUAUACAUCUAUGCACCACUUAUACAAUUUUAAAGAAAUUAUUUUAUAGAUCUUUGUGCUUGGCAUUAUUUUUGAAUUAUUUUUUACUCGAUAAAUCUAGGUACUGAGUUCAAUUUUUGCUUUACGAUUUAAUGUUAUAAACUCCUACCUCUUCACCACUCAUGGUCUUUUUCAUUCAUAAUAAGUAUUAUUGAAAAAAAUUCAAAAUCUAAAUGCUAAUAAAAGAUAUACAGCUGAGAUAAAUGUUACGACGAGCGCACAAACAAAAAUGAAAACAACGAUUAUAAAAUAAACAAACCACAAAGUAGUAAGGAAAGAUAGAACAUAAAGAUUUACGUGAAAAAUUUUUUGCGAAGAAAAACCUCGAGCGAAGAGAGAAUUUCACUAUAUGAAAAGAAAGGUAUAAUCUUGUGGAGAAAUACAAUAUGUGAUAUAUUGUCUAGGGCAAAGAAAAAGAAAAUUGAAAUAUAAUGGAAAGACUUCCACAUCUGACCCAUUUGUUUCUUAAUGGAUUUUUUCAAAAUCUGAUCAGAUUUUGAAUUUCCACCAUAUAUAAUCUUUUUUAAAAAAUUUGUGACACCGCAAAACUUUCGACAAAUAGAGACACAAAAUCGAACUAAAAAACUAAACUUUGAGACAAAUCUAAUAAUAAUUUAGCAUGUUACCCUUUUAUUUACCCUAGAAAGGCCUAGAUUCCAUUAUACAAAAAGAAUCACAAUUUGUCUCCCAGGAAAGCGUGCUCACAAAAACCUAGCAAUGCAUGGCUGGCAAACACUUAGUUUGUCUUACUAAUCACUUAUUUAAUCAUGCAUUAAAUCUAAAGUUAAUGUUAUUCCUUUCCUUAAACCGAGGAGUCAAUUUGUCCUUGUGUAUAAAUUUAUAUGUUUCAAUUGCUUCCAUUUGGAUUAAACAAAGAUAUAUAUAACAUCUAAAACCAAGGGCUAGGAAGGUACUUCUUAAUUACUUUCCCCUUGUUUGAGGAAAUUAACCACCAUGAGAGGGACCUUUUUUGGCACAUUGUAGUUACUUUUUUUUCAAAUGUGAUUAAGUGAUCAAUUGCCCCCGGGAUUCUUAAAUUUUUUGCACGGUUUCAAUUUAGUCCUCAACCUUAUACAUUGCAAUCUUGUUCUUUUUAUUAGAUUUGUCCAAUAAAUUUGGCAGAAAUAAACGCGUAUGUGCUAAGUUACUUUUACAUAAGAGACGGUUGAACUUCUCAUUAGCGUGAUUUGUGAAUGGUUUUGUUUAGAUGCAUGUGCGGAAUUGUCACUUGAUAGUUAUGUCAUAUGUGGCACAAAUAGUGAUAUUUCCUUGCAACUUAAUAGCAACUUUAAGAUUAUUGAACAAUAUUUUAAUUAGAGACUCAAAUGAGAGAACACCUUUGCAAAUUACUUAAUCCAUUUAUCAUGUAUUUGUGAUAAUUAAGAGAAAUGUAAUUUUAGUGAGAGUAAAAACUAUAUGUGCACACUUGUGUGGAGGUGAUAUUUCAAUUGCAAAGGAGACAAACCUUUAACUCUUCAAGUAGUUUAUUGACUUUUCUUCUUGCCCUUUGACCAUGAUGAAUAGUUCCUUUAUUUGUUUCUUGUUUAAACACUAUUUUGAGAACCUUUUGUUCCAACACUUUCACGCACAUCCACGAAAACAGUAUCAUGUGUCUCCGUAUACUUUAAAAUGCAUGAGAAAUACAAAUAUAUAUGUUAUACUCAAAGAGAGAGAGAAAUAUGAGGUGCUAAUUCCUCACUACUUUAAGAGCAGCCAUUUUGAAAAGUUUCAAUUCGUAAUCAUCUUGAUAACCAAGAGCUAGCAUGUUGUUAGGCAUGUGGAAAAGAUCUAGUUCGUGGACGUGAAAAUAUCAAAAAGAAUUGAGAAAGAUAAAAGAAAAAUAAAACACACAAAUAUUUACUUGGUUCGAUUACUAGUCAACAUUCGCAGGAGAAGACAGAGUGAAGAUUUUUAUUUUAAUCAAACUGAAGUACACAUUAUAUAUCUCUCACAAAAUUCUAAUCCUAAAAAUACAACCAUACUUUUCAUCUACCAAACUGAAUCAAUUCAUAAUCAUAUUGACAUGUACAUUGUAUGAUUAGUAAUCAUCUCGAAAUAUCAUCUUGUUAAUUAACCAAGAGCAUGCAUGUACAUGUAACUUGUGUACUACAAUUUGCGCUCGACAUUUGUAUGAUUAGUAGCCAAAACAAGAACGUGAAUAUAUGGAUUUUUUUAUGGCGUUCGCCGCAUCACACACAAAAUCAAAUGGCUAUUCAUAUCAAAGAAAGAAGACCACAUGCAUCAAUAUCCCUGAACAACAAGAAUUUGCUAGUAAAUUUUCUAUUUCUUGUUGUAAUUUGUACAUGUUUUAAAUUCAUUAUUUCUUGUCUCAUGCUCCUCGCAGCGUGCGCACAUAUAUAUAUUGCCCUAAAGUACUCUUGUUUAAUUAUACAUAUAUAUAUAUAUUAAUUCCUAAUACAACUUCUCAACAGAGACCAUGCACGAAGUAUCUGAUCCAGUUGACAAUUAACUAUUUUGCUCACAACACUUGUCCAGCAAUUUUAACUUGUAUAUGUUAAUUAGCUAAAUUCAAAACAAAUGUUACACAGAUUCCUUAUGCACAUUAAUUUUUCCUCCAAGCAUUGCUCAUAGUUACUCUUGUUUAUUUGUUUGUUAACUUUAAAAUGAAUUUUCACAUAUUCCUUAUAUUAUAUGGUGUAUUAAACUCUUGGUCCAAAAACUAAAGUUAUUGUCCACCAAUUAAUUUCAGCUUGUAUAUAUAUUUAUUAAACUCCAACAUAGUUUGCCUCCAACAUAUUAUAUAAGUUCUGUUCACAACUUUUCCUAUGGAUUGAUUAAUUUGAGGACUAAAACGUUUAACAAGAUCAAAGUUAAUUAAAUUUAAUUUAAGUGGUCCAAGUGAUUUGAUUCUUUCUGCUUUAAUUUUUUUUAAUCUCUUUAGAAGAAUUGUCGGGUUUUUCAUAUGCAUCAAUUACUACCUUAGGGGUGUUUGUUAGACAACUUGUCCUCUAGUAAUCACUAUUUGAGACAAAUUGUCUCUACCUUCAGAAAAUAAAACGUAAAAAAAAAAAAGAAAUUACCCGCAAAUUAAUAUAGGUUGCUCAAACAAGUUGUCCCUUGGUUUUUUAUUGAUAGCAGUUUGUGUGAAUUACUUAAGUAAGAAUUAGGUAUUAAAUUAAUUAUAUACAUUAUUGAACUUUUGCACUAUAAAUUGUUGUUCUUGCCUCUGAAUUUUAUGAGUUUNUAUAUAUAUAUAUGAGUUUGGUUACUAUACUAUCGAUAAUAUCAAGCCUUGGUACUAUUGAGUUUUCUACCGUUAGAUCUACACUUUGAUUAUUUUCACCCGUUAGAUUAUACUAUUAAACCAACCACCCACUCAACCCUAGGGGACCACUAUUAUCCUAACCACACAUCCUUUCAUCCAACAGCCGAAAACUCAAUAGUACCAAAAGCUUGAUACUAUCAAUAGUAUAGUAGCAUAAUUCUAUAUAUAUAUAUCUAUAUAAUACGAACGUUGCAAAUACAACUUAUGUACUGAUUAACCACUGCAUCUUCUAUAUAAAUAUCUUCCGUGCUUAUUUUAUAUAUAUAUAUAUAUAUAUAUAUAUAGAAUUAGGCUGGAAUUCUAUUAAUAGUAAAACGCUCUUUUUGCUAUCAAGUUUUUAACCCUUGGAUGAAAAAUUGUAGGAUCGGGAUGAUAUUAGUCGUUUAGAGUUGAGUGGUCCCCUUAGGGUUGAGUGGUCCCUACUGGGUUAUAGUAUUUAAUCUAAUGGUUAGAAAUAAUGAAAAGAGUUGAUCCAAAGGCUAAAAAACUGGUAACAACGAUGGGAUUUUGCUACUAAUAUUAAGUUGUUUCUGUAUAACUAUAUAUAAUAAUACAUGCUAUAUUUAUUUACUUACCGAGAUAUAUAUAUAUAUAUUGUGUCUUCUUGUAAAGACGCCAUAUCAGACACCAGAUAUACAACCGCAACACAAUCUAAUGUGACAACAUGCCAUGGGGACUCACUACAACAGAAUUAGGUUAUAGGGACACAUGUUUGGGACAUUUUUGAGUAAGUGUCCCAUUUAUGCUAAAACUUAAAAAAAUAUCUGCUAAUGCCUAAAUAUAAAGCCCAAUCCAACCAAAAAUAAAAGAUUACUCUACUCAACCCACCACACCCAGUUCAUUUGGCCCGAUUACAAACAGAAAAGAAAAAAAAAAAGAAAAAUCAAUUACCAUCUUUUCUUCUCUCUUCACUCAAUCCACUGAAAUUCUAGACGAAGAGCCUUUCCUGUCGUCCUCCUCCGCCACCGCAGCCAACGAGAUAAAAUUUCGGCGGUUGCUAAAUGCUUAAAUAAGUGUUCGUAAAUUAGCAGCACUCUUUUAGGUUAUAGCGACACUCUUUAACUGUCAAUAUAUACCUAGCGACCCCACAUAUAGUAACACUUUUUAAAAGUGUCGGUAAUUUUAGCUAGCAGCACUUUUUUGACAUGUACCUAUAUUUAAAAGUAUCGCUAUAGACCGUUUUUGUUGUAGUGACUUUUGAGAGAAGUCCCAACUCAACACGGCAUUAGCUAGUCUUACCUAUAAAUGCAAAAAACUAACAUGAUAGAUAUAUGGCGCAGUAAAGAAAAAGGUUAAAAUAUUUUGAACAUAAGUAUACCAAGUUGGAGACACUUAGACACAAACCUGUUAAUUAAUUGAGAAAAAUAACAUGACUGUCGAAGAUGAAUGCUGCAAAUAUGUUUGUUUUUGCACCAAGUAAUCACUCAAUUGAUCUGCCAAUGAUUAGAAAUUAUGAACUCACAAAUGACUUCUUAUAAGAGCUCCUUUAUUCAUGUGAAAACUUUUGAAUACUACAAGGUAUAUAAUCAAACACUAAUCUUACAAUUAAUGACAAGAAAUGUUCAACAAACAAUUAAUUAAAUUCAAUGAAUAUAUCAUUGCUUUUACAAGUUAUAAAUCAUUUCCUGUUAUUACUAUCUUAAGUUGUCAUAUCUAAUUAAUGGAUCUACUGCUUCUGAGUUUGAUGAAGUUGUAAUUUAUGUCUGAUGGUUAAAACCGCAUCUGCACGUGAGUUAAACAGCGGGAAUUAAAAAAAAAAUUUAGCGGUUUGCUUUUAGCAUCUUUAGCUAUUGUUAUUAUUGUUUGUAUUCGAGUAAAAGCAACAAUUUGCGCGCUUUAUCUUCAUGAUCUAUGUUCAAGUGCACUAAACAAGUACAAAAUAUUCUAUCAGCGACAAGCUAUUAUUUAGUUACUCCAAAAAAAAAAGCUCAAAACCACUAAUAUAAUACUAAUUAAGCCUGGUAACACCAACCGUCCCUAGUGCAAGUGGCAAAAAGCUUGGUUGUUGGUACCCGAGGUCCCAAGUUCGAAUUCUAGUUGAUUCACAUUUCUAGUUAAGCUUAUUUCUAAUGAAAUAAACGAAGCGGAUAACAUGUUACCUAUCUCUUAAAAAAAAAAAAAAUUAAGCCUGCUAACACUUAGCUUGAGAAUCAAUUUCUCAGACCAAAUGUUAAUCAAAUCUCCACUUGCUUUUAGCGCUUCGAGCUACAAAAAGGCAAAAAGUUCAAAAGAGAAUAUUCAUGUUUUAAUCAAUUGACUAAUUAUAACAAAACAGAUCCUUUACUAUUGAUGAUAUGUGCUAUAUAUAGCCAUAUCUUGCAUGAUGCAUCAAUCAUUCAAAACAUAUAGUUUAUGUUAAACAACUGUUGUAUUCUAACAACUUAAGCUUUUAGAGUAUGUCAGUUAUUUAACAAAAUAUCAGAACAAGAGAUCCUAAGUCCGAAUCACGCCAGACUCCUAAAUUACUAAUUUUUCCCAUUUAAUUCAAAUCCACGUCAUGAACCUUGUAAAAAGUCUCGAGCCCAUACAUGAGGAGGAGAGUGUUAAAUAUAAAAAUAUAUAAAUACUGUUCUCUAACGGCUUUAGCUUUUAGAGUACGGUGGUUGCUUGACAGUUUAUGAGCUUUAUCUGAAAAGAAGUUGUAGAUUGCUUUAUAAUGAUAGUCUAUGCAAGAAGUAUUGAUUGCCUUCAUUCUAAUUGAGGAUUAGCUAGGGCAAAGUGAUGAAACAUGAAACAGGUCAUUAGGUUGCGUUAUUUGGAAAAGAUCAUAUACUAGAAAAACGUCGCCUUUCGAUACAUUCUUGUUACCAUUUAGAAAGUAGGAAACUUAAUUACAGUACAGCAACAAUUCGCUUCCUCUUUAUACUUUUGUAUCUUGUGGAGUUGCAUUACCAUUUAGAGACUGUUUGAAUUUAAAGUUUGUUUGGUUAGUGAUCAUGUAAUUUGAUUUAUUCAAAUUUUUCAGAAACAAAGUAUGCAGAUGCAUACGUUGCUAAAUUUGUUUGAUUUGAUCAAAAGCAGUCGAUUGAUCUUACUUAUUCAUUUCAUUUAUGCACAAUAGAUCCAAAGAGAAAAUUUGAAAUUAUAACAGAAACUGAAAAAUGCAAGUAAAGAAGAAUGUUUCAUCUAAAAUUUUGUAGUACUAAUCCCUCUCGGAGUUUCUUUCUCACCAUACGAAUGGUACUGAUAUCGCAUCCUUAGAGUAAGAAAAGGAGAAAAACUAUGACUAGUAUGUGUACAAAUAGAGUGGUUCAACUACAAACACCACCAUGUUGGCAGGGAAAAAAAAAAAAGAAAAGAACAAGAACAAGAACAAGAAAAAGAAAAUGGUGCUUGAUUAUGGUCAAUCGUGCCAACAAAGAAGCAUCACGACGCAGCGUCGUAUAAUGUAUAGUUUGGCUCUUUGCUCCCUUAGAGCUCUGCUGAGCCCUCCUUUUUGCUUCUCCUGGCUAUGUAGCUUCAUUGUCAUGGCGUAAUUAGCUUGAAUAGUUGUAAAGUGGAGAGGAGAAAAUAGUGUGUUGAGAAACAAUAAGUGAGAGAGAGAGAAGUAGAGGGUACUCUUUGCUAGCAAUUGUAGUUGGAUUGAAUAGUUUGAGGGGAUUCACAUAUGGAUUUUAUAGAGAGAUCAGAGAAAAUGGGGGGAAAUUAAGGGAGUGGUCCAACACCUAGAGGGCUUGUUAAUUAAGAGGUGCUUUCACACAAGUGUAGUAUCUUGAUUGUUACUUAGGAGACAAGGCUCUGAAUUCAUGUAUAUUGUUUUAUCUUUCUUGCUUCUUUUGCCUAUAAUUGUUUUGUUUUCUUUAAGCUAUAGAAAUUGUGGCCUUAAGCAAGCAUCAAAUUCAGGUAUAUUUGUCUCUCCUGCCUCUUUCACUGUACUGAGAAGUACUUCCUCGCCGAUCGAUUGCUUGAAGAAAACAAUGUUGAUAAAAUAUUACUUGUCGGAUCGUUAGCGCUAAUCAUUAAUCCCAAAAGCUCGAGCUGUAGAAAUACGUAACCAAUUCACUUAAAACGUACAGAUACAGCGCCCACAGGUCUCGAUUAUGACUGGGUCCAACCAGCCUCAUGCCACUUCGAACAUGACUCAACUCACCCUCACGCUAUUUCGAACAUAACUCAGCCCAACAUAGCCUUUCGCCAUAAAGCAAAAUGCUAACUCAUUUAAGCCAGCAAUCCCCUCUCUAGCAUCUGCACACAUUUGCAGUAUUGGGGAAUCGAACUCGCGAUUUCUGGCUCUGAUACCACUUGUCGAAUCGUUAGCGCUAACCAUUAAUUCCAAAAGCACGUGCCGUUAGAAAUAUAAAACCAAUUCACUUAAAACAUACAGAUACAGCGCUCACGAGUCUCGAUUGUGACUCGACCUAACAGGCCUCACGUCACUUCGAACAUGACUCGGCCCAACAUGACCUUCCGCCACAGGACAAGAUGCUGACUUAUUUAAGCCAACAUUAGGUACGUACGCACGCAUUUUCUUUUUUCUCUCAGUUGGCACAUGCAACCUAUCCUAUCAUGGCGCUCGCAACGAGAGCUUUACUAGAGCAAGUGACAGGUUUUGUUUGCCUAUCGAGGCAGUCGCACUCAUCGUCACAUAAAAAAGAAAAUCGACUGGCCUCUUGUGUGAAUGAAAAGCUAAAUUCGACUAUAUUAUGUCGAGAUCCGAGCGUGCACUAGAAUAUUUUUGCGAGCUAACUGUUCUUGAUCACUGAUCAGUCUCUUGUAUCUGUCCUUCGACUGCACGGAAAAUGCUUUUUUUUGUUCCCCUCCUAAUAUUCAAUAACAAGUUGCAUGGAGCAUGUCUCCUGAUCAGAGUAUAUAUACUUGUUUAUUAAUUCCUAGAAUGGCUUUUCAUAUAUAUACUGUUGUAGUACAUGGCUUGACAAUUCUUUACUCACAAAUCCAUGCCAUUUGUAGCAUUAAUUUUUUAAUUAAAUCCCUACUUUCUUUGCCUCCUUUCACAUUCAAUUCUCUUCACCACCUUCCUGUGGACACAAAGUUUCUAUGCCUAGGAUGCUUAAAACAAUCAUGAUUUUCAUUUGUACCUAAUUUUGUUAGUUUCUUUACUUGCCCUCUCCUUCAUGGUCUCUGUUUGUUCAGUUCUUGUCAUGUUGAAAUAACAAUGACAUGCAAAUACCAAAAUAAAGGAAUAUUUUAUGUAAUUUUAAGCAAAUGCUGUCGCUGUUCGACACAAAUUUUUGCUGCAUUUGAAACAGUUGGCAAGCUAUAUAGUGUUCAAUGCUGCAGCAUUUUUUUUUCUCAUUUCUUGCUUAAAAAUAUCCUAAUAAAAGAACAUUAGAUAGAUAUAAAAUAUUGAAGUACAUCUCCUAAGUUUUUGAAAUUACGGAAGCCUCCGUACUUAUAAGUUAUUUUUUAUGAUGGGAUAUCUAAUUCGAUGAUCAACUCUAUUGUGAAUGAUCUAUACUAUUAGAACUAUUUAGAAAUUAAAUUUCAUAAUUUUUCGACAUCAUUUAGCAAGUAAUCAAUAAGUCUAAAAAAUGACUAUUUUAAUGGCCGAUGUGGCACGUUUGUAAGUUCAACGAUAUAGAACAAUUCAAAUUACAUAAAACUUUGGCUAAAUUACAUAAAAACCCAGUCAAAACCUGAUUUUUCACUUUUCCCCCCUGUCAUUUAAAAACCUACACUUUGUCCCCUUAUAAAAUGAAAAAUGUUCACGGGGUUGUACGAUGUGAACAGUGAUGACAAAAUGACCAUUUUGCCCCUCACCAUUUUCGUCUCCUCCCUCAUCUUGCUCAUCCGCCGCCUCGAUCGGCCGCAGUUCGCGCCUCAAUCGACCGCAGUGCCUUUCCAUUUUCUUCUUCACCUACUUCCCUUCUCCUCCUACACCUUCGUCGCCCCUCCAUUUCAGCGACAGUAGGGAGGAAAUCGAGGUGGGCGUGGAGGGAGAGGUGGGCAAGGGCAACGAGGGCGAAGGCGAGGCGGUGGAGGAGAGCGAGGGGGUGUUUGUGGGUGCGGACGGAGAUGUAGGCGAGGGCGAGACAGUGGAGGAGGGCGAGGCGGCAAGGCGGAGGAGGGUUAAGCAUCAGUAGAGAGGGUGGAGGGUAUUUUUGACAUAAAAAAAUAUUUUAUAACGGAACCCUAACGGAUCACUAACGGUAGGGGAUAAAGUGAAUUUUUUUCAUUUUACAGGGGGGCAAAGUGUAGGUUUUUAAAUGACAGGAGAAAAAACUGAAAAAUUAAAUUUUUACAGGGGGGUUUUCUGUAAUUUAGCCUAAAACUUUAAUAGAAAAUUUUACUUAAUAUUAAGAGUAAAAUCAAUAAUUCCGGUUUGAAAUUUAAAUUUUUUAUUACUAUUUUUUGUAAGAUUUUUAUUUUCAGCCGUUUAUUUUGAGACUACAAGCUUACUAUGCAAACAAAGCUAAAAAAUUGUGAAAUUUGGAUUCUAAAUAGUUCUAAUAAUAUGGAUUAUGCCUAAUAGAGCCAAUCGUUGAAUCAGAUGUCCUAUUAUCAAAAACAACUUAUAAGUAUGGAGACCUCCGUACUUUCGAAAGUACAGGAGUCUAGCUCUAAACUAUUGUUACUCUUAUCAAUCUGGGACUCCUCUAUAUACUAUUCCCGUUAUGCUUCUAAUUUCAAUCAUAUAAAUAUAUAUAAAAAGUUAGGCUGGUAUAUUAUCGAUAACACAGAGGCCUUUAUACUACCAAAUUAUUUUCAAUGAUGUAGCUUCCAACUCGAUGAUCGACUCCAUUAGACUUGAUCUAUAUUAUUGAAAGUAUUUGGAAACAAAAUUUCAUAAUUUUCGAUAUCAUUUACCUAUCAAACGAGUAGUCUAAAAAUGAAAAGCUGAAAAUAAAAAUCUCAUAAAAAAUGAUGAUAAAAGACUUGAAUUUAAGAUCAGGGGUACUGAUCUUACUCUAAAUAGUGAAAGAAUUUUCUAUAAAAAUUUUAUCAGAUUUGAAUUAUUUUACACCGUUAAAUUCACAAACGCAUCACAUAUACCAUUAAAAUUGUCAAUUUUGAGACCUUUUGAUCACUAGUCAAAUGAUGUCGAAAAAUUAUGAAAUUUAAUUUUCAAAUACUUUUAAUAGUGUAAAUACAAGUCUAAGGGAGUCGAUCGUCGAUUUGGAAGCCGCAUCAUUAAAAACAACUUAGCAGUACGGAGGCCUCCGUGCUACCAAUAGUAUACCAGCCUAGCUCUAUAUAUAUAUUUAUAUAUAUAUAUAUAUAUAGAGAGAGAGAGAGAGAGAGAGAUCUAGAGAGAGAGAGAGAGGGAAAGAGAGAGGAUUGCUAUGCUCUUAGGAGCAUGGAGGUCUCAGUGCUUCUGAGCUGUUUUCGAUGAUAGAAUCUUGGAAUCGACAAACGGCUCCGUUAGACUUGAUCUAGCAUAUUUCGGAGUAAGGAUAUCUGAAAUUCCACAGUAUGAGAUACUUACUUUGCCCAUUAUACGAUGGCAAAAGAAUCUUUUUUUUCUUUUUCUUCAACGUAUACUUUAUAGAACAAGCAUCCGUGUGAAGGGUGAUUUUCGCCCUAAGUUAGAACCCAGUGUUAUGACUCUCGCUCAUCAUACAUAAUUAAUAGAAUCUUUCAAUAAUUAGCAGUACUCUGGGUUACUCUGGGUUUGGGAUUUAAGUUUAAAUCUUUGGUGACUAAAAUCAACAUUUGUUGAAUUAAAGAUCCCAAUUAAAGUGGUUAUGGAAAGUUUUCAACUUUUAUAGUAUUUAUGAGAAUGUUUUAGUCAUUAUAGUACGAAUGGAUAGAUUUAUAUAUGUAAGAAAGUUUAAAUGGGAAUAAACAUUUGAGGCAAUUUGUAACAUUAACAAAGUAACCUAAUUUUUAAUUUAAUGGCUGAGAUGGGAACUGGGAAUUUUCCACAACUUCCUAUAUCACUCUUUUAUAUAUAAGUUGGGGGAGUUUUGAUAUCCGACAAAACUUCUUCUAGUUGUUAGUUAUCUACUUUAUAACCUCUUUUUUUUUCUUUCUUUUAUAUAAGACUUAAAUAAUUACACUGAUCUUUGAUUUUUCGUAACACCCCUAGAUUCUUUUCGAUUCUUCUAAAAGCCUCCGGUUUUCAUAUUCGAAACGAAGUCGAAGAAGUAGAAACCGCAGACGACGUUGUUUUUAGAUAUAAUCUUCUACAACUACUUCGUUGACUAUGGACUAUUCGUAGAGAUAGGUUUUUCAUGAAAGAGUGUCUGUUCGGUUAGUUCUUAUUAAUAUAUAAAUUAUUACUUUCUAAAUACUUACGGACUACGUACCAUCCUACUAAUUAAGGGAGGUUAAUUGUUACUUAAUAAUAGUAACAUUUUAGUAAAGAAUUAAAUCCUUUCUUUAUAACAUCGAUUUUUCAACCACCACAGUGCAACGUACCGUAACAUGGUAUCUAAGAGGUGACGGAUUUUGCACUGUUUGAUAUACGUACGAAAAAAAAAAAAAGAUUAAUUUCAUUAAGUAAUUACACAGUAGUGUGUACGCGGAUUAAUAUUGGAGUUUUAUUAGGAGAGAAACUGUUAGUAAAAAAAAAUUAAUCAAUAUAGGUAAACGUAAUUAGUCGACAAACUAAUAGAUGUAACAUUCGAUAUUAUAUCCAUGUUAACAUGUGUUCGAGCUUUUUCAGAUAAAUUAAUGGAUAUCACAUCCUGAAUCUAUGUUAUUAACCUAAAUAUAUCUAUUUCCGAACUAACAACGUAAAGCAGGAUAUAGCUUUAAUCUACAUUUAGUAUUAAAUCGUCGACCUCUCUCAUUGAGAUGAGCUAUUUAUUAAUUAAUGAAUAGAAAGCGGAGUAGUCCUUUUCUUUUCUCUUUUCAAACGAAGAAACUCCAAUUAGAGUGGUAGAGCAUAAAUUUUAUCUUUCUACAUGCUUAUAACGAAAGUUAACGUUCAUUGGUUUUGAAUUUUAGGCAUCAGCGUUGUAAGAGUUAAUUUAUCAUGGCACGCUCAAUUUACGUUUACAAUAUUGAUGUAGGCUGGUUUGUUUUGUGGUCAAAAUAAAUUCUCGAAAAAACCUACGAACUUGUACGCCAAAUCAUAGUACACCGAAUUGGCUGGCAGGGAUCUCGUUCACCGUUUUCCAAACCACCAACCAUGGGCUCUGGAUUCAAGCUUAGGAUCAACUAAGUGUAAAGGUCGAUUUAAAUAAAGAUUUACUUUAUUUGCUUCGCCCAUCGCAUGCACGAUGAAUAGAGAGAGAGUUUUUUUUUCAUAGUACACCGAAUCAAAUGAGUUCCUAGUACGUUGUUAACUGUCUACUUAUCAUAUGAAUCUAUAUACAACGAAGAUUUAAUAAUAAGACUUUUUUCUUUUUGAUUAGUAUUCACGGAAAUCUCUGAAACUAGGUUCAAGAUCAUAAGUUUGUAAGUUUAUCAAAGAUUUUCUUUGACUAGAUAUUUCACACCUCUCACUAACCAGAAUAUGGUUUCUUAAGAAUUUAAUUUUCACAAUGCUGCUCACGUGUUUGUUUUUGCUUUCUGCCGUUUGCACUUUAUUUGUUUCAUGUUCGUCUUUUAUUUUAUUUGUGUUUCUAAAUGCACUUUUUAAGAAAAGUCCUUUUUUUAAUACCUACUUUCUCCUCUCUUAAAAUGAUACUUUUUUUUUCAUAUUACAAUACUUCUAAUGUUAUGCGAUGUAGUCUGGUUCCAGAGGCGAUGGGUGGUGUCUGUAGAUAAAAAGAAGGUGUUAAGUAAAGGGUUUUUAAGAUAGCGUGAUGCUUUAACAGUUAUUUAGUACCCGGGUUUUAGUUUCAACUAUUAGUUUAAAGCUCCGUGGAGAUUAAACGUUGGUGAAUGAGUUAAUCACUCCGACCAUACUAAGGCCUUCGUGUUUUGGGAGGUAUGAAGAUUCACGUACCAAAAGCUACAACUCUAAAAGCUUAGUUGUUAAACGAGACAAUCUGAACUAGUUCACAUAAACUUAAUGGACUUUUUAUUUAAAACACUAAAAAGCUAUAGUAAACGGAUUACUAGCUUCCCCGAGUUUUAAUUAUUAAAAUUACCGGCACCACUCGGCAAACGUUCAAAUUGCCACAUUUUUAUAAGUUUAGUACAUUUUAAAACUAUCUUUUAAAAAAUAUGAUAUAUUUUGUUCUAGUUAUAGAAACUAGAUUUUAAAAUUAUAAUAUAGUAGUGUAAAACAUUCUAAAAAUAAAAAUCGGCAACUAAAACUGGGGGAAGCUAGUAAUCCGUUUACUAUAACUUUUAGUUUUUUUAAUAAAAGAUAGUUUUAUUAGAUCUAAUUCAAAUUGUCUCGGUGGCUAGCAGCUAAACUUUCAGGGUUAUAGCUUUUACUGAACCUUCGUGCCUCCCGAGGCACGAAGGUCUUCGUAUGGUUGGCAUUAGAGAGAGAGAGAGAGAGAGAGAGAGAGAGAGAGAGAGAGAGAGAGAUAUAUAUAUAUAUAUAUAUAUAUAUAUAUAUAUCUCUCUCUCUCUCUCUCUCUCCCCCCUUUCUCUCUCGCGUUCCGACGACACGAGAAUCUUCGUGUCUUCUGAGGCGGGAAGCACGAGGACUCGGUAAAAGUUACUACUUUAAAAGCUUAAUUGCUAGCCGAGGCAAUUUAAACUAGAUCGCAUAAACUUCAAACCCUAUUAACGGAUAUAUGGGCAGUAUACAAACUUUUAUAGGUUAAAUGGGGAUAAAAAAAAAAGAAAGAUUUUAUGGGGAAUAUACAAGGUGGCAAUCACGUUUUAUGAGGGCGUCAAUAGAGGACAAUUCAAUUGAACCCAAUUUGCACUCAAUUUGUAGAUGGCGUCAAUUUUUUUUAAUUUUACGGUUAAAACGGGAAUUGAAUUCCCGUUUAUUCUUUACAACCACUGUCAUCUCCCCAUAUAUAACCUUUUCUGGUUUUCAAUUUCAUUAAAAACAUGGGGACCGAAAUUCCCGAUUAUUCUUUCAGUCACUACCACCUUCCCAUAUAAACUUUCCCGUUUUAUCAUUAAAAUGUCUCAAUUAUCUCAAUUAAUUGUUUAAAAUUAUAUAAUCUUUAUCCAACCUUGCAUUUCUCCCAUAAAAGUUAUAAUCGUAAGAUUCUCCCCAUUUAACCUUUCAGCCUUUGAAAAGUGCCCAUAUAUUCGUUAACGGGGAAUUUCAAAGAUCUUUUAUUAAAAACACUAAAAAGCUAUAAUAAAUGGAUCACUAGUUUUCCCAAGUUUUAGUUAUCAAAAAUUAUUAACUACAGACGGCAAAGUUCAAAUUGCCCCAUCUUCAUAAAUUUAGUCUAUUUUAAAACUAUGUUUUAAGAAAUAUAAUAGAUGUUGUCGUAGUUAUUGAAACUAGCUUUUAAAAUUACAAUAUAGUGUUGAAAAAUAUCUUAAAAAUAAAAAUCGGCAACUACAAUUUAGGAAGACUAACGAUUCAUUUAUUAUAGUUUUUUGACAUUUUUAAUAAAAGAUCUUUGAAGNGCUAGUUUAACGGUGUAAAAGAAUCGAAAUUUGUUGAAUUUUUGAUAGAAAAUUCUAUUCACUACAUAGAUAAAGAUCAAUAACUCCGAUCUUGAAUUGAAGAAUCCGAUUAUCCUUUUUUAGGACGUCGUUCGAUUUUGACCAUUCAUUUUAUGCCCACUUGAUGGAUUUAAUUAUGAUUUCGAAAAUUUACGAAAUUUAUUUUCUAGAAGUUUCAAAUACUCUAGAUCAUAUUUAACGGAGUGGAUUGUCGAUUCGGAAGCUCCAUCAUUAAAAAUAACUUAUGAGUACGAUGGCUCCAAUACUCAUAAUAGUAUAGUAGCCAUGGCCUAUAUAUAUAUAUAUAUCACACACACACACACACACACACACACACACACACACACACACACACACACACACGAAGGUUGCAAAUACAACUUAUAUAUAUCACACACACACACACGAAGGUUGCAAAUACAACUUAUCUAAUGUGACAACAUGCCAUGGGGACUUUUGAGAGAAGUCCCAACUCAACACGGCAUGAGCUAUAGUCUUACCUAUAAAUGCAAAAAACUAACAUGAUAGAUAUAUGGCGCAGUAAAGAAAAAAGUUAAAAUAUUUUGAACAUAAGUAUACCAAGUUGGAGACUCUCAGACACAAACCUGUUAAUUAAUUGAGAAAAAUAACAUGACUGUCGAAGAUGAAUGCUGCAAAUAUGUUUGUUUUUGCACCAAGUAAUCACUCAAUUGAUCUGCCAAGGAUUAGAAAUUAUGAACCCACAAAUGACUUCUUAUAAGAGCUUCUUUAUUCAUGUGAAAACUUUUGACUACUGCAAGGUAUAAUCAAACACCAAUCUUACAAUUAUUGACAAGAAAUGUUCAACAAACAAUUAAUUAAAUUCUAUGAAUAUAUCAUUGCUUUUACAAGUUAUAAAUCAUUUCCUGUUAUUACUAUCUUAAGUUGUCAUAUCUAAUUAAUGGAUCUACUGCUUCUGAGUUUGAUGAAGUUGUAAUUUAUGUCUGAUGAUUAAAAUUGCAUCUGCGCGCACGUGAGAUGAAAAAAAAUUUAUCGGUUUGCUUAAUUUUAGCAUCAUUAGUUAUUGUUAUUAUUGUUUGUAUUUUAAAAAAAGCAACAAUUUGCUUUAUCUUCAUGAUCUAUGUUCACGUGCACUAAACAAGUUCAAAAUAUUUGAUCAGCGAUAACCUAUUAUUUAAUUACUCUAAAAAAAGCUCAAAACCACUAAUAUAAUACUAAUUAUGCCUGCUAACACUUAAGUCGACAGUCAAUUUAUUAGACCAAAUGUUAAUCAACUCUCCACUCGCUUUUAGCGCUUCGAGCUACAAAAAGGCGAUAAGUUCAAAUGAGAAUAUUCAUGUUUUAAUCGAUUGACUAAUUAUAACAAAAUAGAUCCUUCACUAUUGAUGAUAUGUGCUAUUAAUAAUAUUCCAGCCUAGUUAUAUAUAUAUAUAGAGCAGGGCUGCUGUGCUCUCAGGAGCACGGAGGAGCACGUCCGUGCUCCUGAGCCGUUUUCGAUGAUGGAGUUUUCGAAUCGACGAUCGGCUCCGUUAAACUUGAUCUAGUAUAUUUGAAGUUUCUAGAAAUAAUUUUUGCGAUUUUUCGUUAUCAUUUACCUAGCAAUCGAAAUGAUUCAAAAUCAAUAAUUUUUAACAGCUUAAAAUAAAAAUUCUAUAAAAAGUGGUGAUAUAGCACUAAAAUUUUCGAUCAAAAUUAUUGAUCUUGUUAUAAAUAGUAUAAAGAAUUUUGUAUCAAAAUUUCAUCUGAUUUGAAUACUUCUACACCGUUAAACUUGAAAACGGCAGAUAUCAACCAUUAAAAAUUAUGGAUUUUGAAUCCUUUCGAUCACUAGGUAAAUGAUAUCGAAAAAUCGCAAAAAUUAUUUUCUAGAAACUUCAAAUGCGCUAGAUCAAGUCUAACGGAGCCGAUCGUCGAUUCGAAAAUUCCAUCAUCGAAAACAACUCAGGAGCACGGAGGCCUCCGUGCUCCUGAGAGCACAGCAGCUCUGCACUAUAUAUAUAUAUAUAUAUAUAUAUAUAUAUAGAGAGAGAGAGAGAGAGAGAGAGAGAGAGAGAGAGAGAGAGAGUUGGGCUAGAAUACUAUUAAUAGCAAAACGUCAUUUUUGCUAUCAAGUUUUCAGCCAUUGGAUCAACUCCUUUCAUCAUUUCUAAUCAUUGGAUUAAAUACUAUAAACCAGUGGGGACCACUCAACCCUAGGGGACCACUCAACUCUAACUGACUAAUAUCAUCCUAACCCUACAAUUUCUCAUCCAAUGGUUAAAAACUUGAUAACAAAAAGAGCGUUUUGCUAUCAAUAUAUUCCAGCCUAAUUUUAUAUAUAUAUAUAUAGUUGAGCUAGAAUACUAUCGGUAGUAAACGAGCCGUUUUACUACCGAUUUGUUUUCGAUGAUAGAAUUUCCAAAUUGACGAUCGGCUCCGUUGAACAUGAUCUAUACCACUUAAAGUGUUUAGAAAUCAAAUUUUAAAUCUUUUCGACAUCAUUUGCCUAAUGAUCAAAGGGUUUCAAAAUUUGUAAUUUUAAUGGUCGAUAAGAAGCGUUUUCUCGUUUAACGGCGUAAAGAUAUCCAAAUCAAUUGAAUUUUUGUUAGAAAUUUUUAAACUAUUUAAAACAAGAUCUAUACUUUGAUCUUGAUUACAAGACUCCUAUCAUCAUUUUCUAAAGAGUAUUCAUUUUCAGCCAUUCAUUUUUCUGUUCACUUGAUGGAUAAAAGAACAAAGAACAAUAUCGAAAGUGCGUGAAAUUUGAUUUCUAGGUAGUUUAAAUGGUUUAGAUCAUAUUUAACGCGAGACCGCAUCGGAUCAAUUUGGGAAGCUCUAUCAUCGAAAACGAAAUCGCGUAGUAAAAAGUGGCUCCGAUUUACUACCGAGUAGUAUUCUAACUAACUCUAUAUAUAGUAUAUAUACUAUAUAUUUAUAUAUAUAUAUAUAUAUAUCAAUCAUUCAAAACAUAUAGUUUAUGGGCUUUAUCUGAAAAGAAAUUGUAGAUUGCUUUAUAAUGAUAGAGUCUAUGCGAGAAGUAUUGAUUGCCUUCAUUCUAAUUGAGGAUUAGCUAGGGCAAAGUGAGGAAACAUGAAAAAGGUCAUUAGGUUGCGUUAUUUGGAAAAGAUCAUAUACUAGAAGAAUGUCGCCUUUUGAUACAUUCUUGUUACCAUUUAGAAAGUAGGAAACUUAAUUACAGUACAGCAUCAAUUCGUUUCCUCUUUAUACUUUUGUAUCUUGUGGAGUUGCAUUACCAUUUAGGGACUGUUUGAAUUUAAAGUUUGUUUGGUUAGUGAUCAUGUAAUUUGAUUUAUUCAAAUUUUUCAGAAACAAAGUAUGCAGAUGCAUACGUUGCUAAAUUUGUUUGAUUUGAUCAUAAGCAGUCGAUUGAUCUUACUUGUUCAUUUCAUUUAUCCGCAAUAGAUCCAAAGAGAAAAAUUGAAAUUGUAACAAAAACUGAAAAAUGCAAGUAAUGAAGAAUGUUUCAUCUAAAAUUUUGCAGUACUAAUCCCUCUCGGAGUUUCUUUCUCACCAUACGAAUGGUACUGAUAUCGCAUCCUUAGAGUAAGAAAAGGAGAAAAACUAUGACUAGUAUGUGUACAAAUAGAGUGGUUCAACUACAAACACCACCAUGUUGGCAGGGAAAAAAAAAAAAGAACAAGAACAAGAACAAGAAAAAGAAAAUGGUGCUUGAUUAUGGUCAAUCGUGCCAACAAAGAAGCAUCACGACGCAACGUCGUAUAAUGUAUAGUUUGGCUCUUUGCUCCCUUAGAGCUCUGCUGAGCCCUCCUCUUUGCUUCUCCUGGCUAUGUAGCUUCAUUGUCAUGGCUUAAUUAGCUUGAACAGUUGUAAAGUGGAGAGGAGAAAAUAGUGUGUUGAGAAACAAUAAGUGAGAGAGAGAGAAGUAGAGGGUACUCUUUGCUAUCAAUUGUAGUUGGAUUGAAUAGUUUGAGGGGAUUCACAUAUGGAUUUUAUAGAGAGAUCAGGGAAAAUGGGGGGAAAUUAAGGGAGUGGUCCAACACCUAGAGGGCUUGUUAAUUAAGAGGUGCUUUCACACAAGUGUAGUAUCUUGAUUGUUACUUAGGAGACAAGGCUCUGAAUUCAUGUAUAUUGUUUUAUCUUUCUUGCUUCUUUUGCCUAUAAUUGUUUUGUUUUCUUUAAGCUAUAGAAAUUGUGGCCUUAAGCAAGCAUCAGAUAUUGAGGUAUAUUUGUCUCUCCUGCGCGCCUCUUUGACUGUACUGAGAAGUACUUCCUCGCCGAUCGAUUGCUUGAAGAAAACAAUGUUGAUAAAAUAUUACUUGUCGGAUCGUUAGCGCUAACCAUUAAUCCCAAAAGCUCGAGCUGUAGAAAUACGUAACCAAUUCACUUAAAGCGUACAGAUACAGCGCCCACAGGUCUCGGUUAUGACUCGGUCCAACCAGCCUCAUGUCACUUCGAACAUGACUCGGUCCAACCAGCCUCAUGUCACUUCGAACAUGACUCAACUCAGCCCAACAUAGCCUCUCGCCAUAGAACAGAAUGCUAACUCAUUUAAGCCAACAAUCCCCUCUCUAGCAUCUGCACACAUUUGCAGUAUUGGGGAAUCGAACUCGCGAUCUCUGGCUCUGAUACCACUUGUCGAAUCGUUGGCGGUAACCAUUCAUUCCAAAAGCACGUGCUGUUAGAAACAUACAACCAAUUCACUUAAAACAUACAGAUACAGUGCCCACGAGUCUCGAUUGUGACUCGGCCCAACAAGCCUCACGCCACUUCGAACAUGACUCGACCCAACGUGACCUUCUGCCACAGGACAAGUGCUGGCUUAUUUAAGCCAACAUUACAUUCGUACGCACGCAUUUUCUUUUUUCUCUCAGUUGGCACAUGCAACCUAACCUAUCAUGGCGCUCGCAACGAGAGUUUUACUAGAGCAAGUGACAGGCUUUGUUGGCCUAUCGAGGCAGUCGCACUCAUCGUCGCAUAAAAAGGAAAAUCGAGUGGCCUCUCGUGUUAAUGAAACCCUAAACCCUAAUGAAAAGCUAAAUUCGACUACAUUAUGUCGAGAUCCGAGCGUGCACUAGAAUAUUUUUGCGAGCUAACUGUUCUUGAUCAGUGAUCAGUCUCUUGUAUCUGUCCUUCGACUGCACGGAAAAUGCUUUUUUUUGUUCCCCUCCUAAUAUUCAAUAACAAGUUGCAUGGAGCAUGUCUCCUGAUCAGAGUAUAUAUACUUGUUUAUUAAUUCCUAGAAUGGCUUUUCAUAUAUAUACUGUUGUAGUACAUGGCUUGACAAUUCUUUACUCACAAAUCCAUGCCAAUUGUAGCAUUAUUUUUUUAAUUAAAUCCCUAGCUACUUUCUUUGCCUCCUUUCACAUUAAAUUCUCUUCACCUUCUUGUGGACACCAAGUUUCUAUGCCUAGGAUGCUUAAAACAAUCAUGAUUUUCAUUUGUACGUAAUUUUGUUAGUUUCUUUACUUGCCCUCUCCUUCAUGGUCUCUGUUUGUUCAGUUCUUGUCAUGUUGAAAUAACAAUGACAUGCAAAUACCAAAAUAAAGGAAUAUUUUAGGUAAUUUUUAAGCAAAUGCUGUCGCUGCUCGACACAAAUUUUUGCUGCAUUUGAAAUAGUUGGCAAGCUAUAUAGUGUUCAAUGCUGCAGCAUUUUUUUUUCUCAUUUCUUGCUUUAAAAUAUCCUAAAAGAACAUUAGAUAGAUAUAAAAUAUUGAAGUACAUCUCCUAAGUUUUUGAAAUUACGGAAGCCUCCGUACUUGUAAGUUAUUUUUUAUGAUGGGAUAUCUAAUUUGAUGAUCAGCUCUAUUGUGAAUGAUCUAUACUAUUAGAACUAUUUAGAAACUAAAUUUCAUAAUUUUUCGAUAUCAUUUAGCAAGUAAUCAAUGGGUCUAAAAAAUGACUAUUUUAAUGGCCGAUGUGGCACGUUUGUAAGUUCAACGAUAUAUAACAAUUCAAAUUACAUAAAACUUUGGCUAAAUUACAUAAAAACCCAGUCAAAACCUGAUUUUUCACUUUUCCCCCCUCUCAUUUAAAAACCUACAGUUUGUCCCCUUAUAAAAUGAAAAAUGUUCACCGGGUGGUACGGUGUGAACAGUGAUAACAAAAUGACCAUUUUGCCCCUCACCAUUUUCGUCUCCUCCCUCAUCUUGCUCAUCCGCCGCCUUGAUCGGCUGCGGUUCGCGCCUCAAUCGACCGCAGUUCCUCUCCAUUUUCUUCUUCACCUACUUCCCUUCUCCUCCUAUACCCUCGUCGCCCCUCCAUUUCAGCGACAGUAGGGAGGAAAUCGAGGUGGGCGUGGAGGGAGAGGUGGGCAAGGGCAACGAGGGCGAAGGCGAGGCGGUGGAGGAGAGCGAAGGGGUGUUUGUGGGUGCGGACGGAGAUGUGGGCGAGGGCGAGACAGUGGAGGAGGGCGACGCGGCGAGGCGGAGGAGGGUAAAGCAUCAGUAGAGAGGGCGGAGGGUAUUUUUGACAUAAAAAAAUAUUUUAUAACGAAAUCCUAACGGAUCACUAACGGUAGAGGAUAAAGUGAAUUUUUUUCAUUUUACAGGGGGGCAAAGUAUAGGUUUUUAAAUGACAGGAGAAAAAAAGUGAAAAAUCAAAUUUUUACAGAGGGGGUUUUCUGUAAUUUAGCCUAAACUUUAAUAGAAAAUUUUACUUAAUAUUAAGAGUAAAAUCAAUAAUUCCGAUUUGAAAUUUAAAUUUUUUAUUACUAUUUUUUGUAAGAUUUUUAUUUUCAGCCGUUUAUUUUGAGACUACUCGUUUACUAUGCAAACAAAGCUAAAAAAAUUGUGAAAUUUGGAUUCUAAAUAGUUCUAAUAACAUGGAUUAUGCCUAAUAGAGCCAAUCGUUGAAUCAGAUGUCCCAUCUUCAAAAACAACUUAUAAGUAUGGAGACCUCCGUACUUUCGAAAGUACAGGAGUCUAGCUCUAAACUAUUGUUACUCUUAUCAAACUGGGACUCCUCUAUAUACUAUUACCGUUAUGCUUCUAAUUUCAAUCAUAUAAAUAUAUAUAGAAAGCUAGGCUGGUAUACUAUCGGUAGCACAGAGGCCUUUAUACUACCAAAUUAUUUUCAAUGAUGUAGUUUCCAAAUCGACGAUCGACUCCAUUAGACUUGAUCUAUAUUAUUGAAAGUAUUUGGAAACAAAAUUUCAUAAUUUUUCGAUAUCAUUUACCUAUCAAACGAGUAGUCUAAAAAUAAAAAGCUGAAAAUAAAAAUCUCAAAAAAAUGAUGAUAAAAGACUUGAAUUUAAGAUCAGAGAUACUGAUCUUACUCUAAAUAGUGAAAGAAUUUUCUAUAAAAAUUUUAUCAGAUUUGAAUUAUUUUACACCGUUAAAUUCACAAACGCAUCACAUAUACCAUUAAAAUUGUCAAUUUUGAGACAUUUUGAUCACUAGUCAAAUGAUGUCGAAAAAUUAUGAAAUUUAAUUUUCAAAUACUUUUAAUAGUGUAAAUACAAGUCUAAGGGAGUCGAUUGUCGAUUUGGAAGCCGCAUCAUUGAAAACAACUUAGCAGUACGGAGGCCUCUGUGUUACCAAUAGUAUACCAGCCUAGCUCUAUAUAUAAUUUAUAUAUAUAGAGAGAAAGAGAGAGAAAGAGAUCUAGAGAGAGAGAGGGGGGGAAAGAGAGAGGAUUGCUAUGCUCUUAGGAGCAUGGAGGUCUCAGUGCUUCUGAGCUGUUUUCGAUGAUAGAAUCUUCGAAUCGACAAACGGCUCCAUUAGACUUGAUCUAGCAUAUUUGAAGUUUCUAGAAAAUAAUUUUUACAGUUUUUUGAUAUUAUUUACUUAGCAAUCGGAAGGAUUUAACAUCAACGGCUGAAAAUAAAAAUUCUACAAAAAGUUGUGAUAUAGCAUUAAAAUUUUCGAUCAAAGUUAUUGAUCCUGUUGUAGAUAAUAUAAAGAAUUUUGUAUCAAAAUUUUAUCUGAUUUAAAUACUUCUACCCCGUUAAACUUGAAACGGCAAACAUCAAUCAUUAAAAACUAUUGAUUUUGAACCCUUUUGAUCACUAGGUAAAUAAUAUCGAAAAAUCACAAAAAUUAUUUUCUAGAAACUUCAAGGGGCAAUUGCUUAUAUACCCGUGAAAAGUUUCCGACUUUCCUAUUUACCCCUCUUAGAAUGCUAAUAUUGAAAAUACCCUCUUUACGUUCCAACCUAUUUCUAAUAUACCCCUAGAGUUAAAAUCUAUUAAUUAACUCUGUUAACUCUGUAAAAUUACUAUUUUGCCCUUUCAAAUAUACCCUUCCACCAUCACUGACUUUCUUAUUUGCCCUUAAAGCCAGGGGCACAAAAAUUAUUUUAACUUUUGGUCUUUUCCAAUAUAUACCCCUCUACUGUCACCAACAUUUCUUAUUUGCCCUUAAGUUAAGGGCAAAAUUGGCAUUUUAAUUUUUUUUAACUGCGGUAGAUGUUUAACUCACGUUUAACUCAAGUUAACUUAACAUGAGAUAACUGCGGGAGUAUUUUGCAAUAACGGUGGAACAUAUAAGGGGUAUUUUAGAAAGAAAAAAAUAUGGGUAAAUUGGAUAUUUUCAAACAUAUGAGGGGUAUAUAGGCAAUUAUCCCAAACUUCAAAUACGCUAGAUCAAAUUUAACGGAGCCGAUCGUUAAUUCGAAAAUUUCAUCAUUGAAAACGGCUCAGGAGCACAAAGGGCGGAGGCUUCUGUGCUUCUAAGAGCACAGCAGCCUUGCGCUCUCUCUCUCUCUCUCUCUCUCUCUCUCUCUAUAUGAGAGAUUACGGUUGGUAUGCUUCUGGAAGCACGGAGCCCUUCGUGCUUCCCAAUUAUUUUCGAUGUUGGGACUUUCAAAUCGACGAUCGGCUCCGUUAAACUUGAUCUAGAUUAUUUGGAUAGAAAAUAAAUUUUUUGAUUUUUCAAUAUCAUUUGCCUAGUGAUCGAAGGGGCUCAAAAUCAACGGCUAAAAAUAAAAAUCUUACAAAAUGUGAUGAUAUGAUAUUAAAAUUUUAGAUCAAAGAUAUUGAUCUUGUUUUAUAUAGUAUAAAAAAAUUUUCUAUCAAAAUUUUACAUGAUUUGAACAUUUUUACACCGUUAAACUUGCAAACGGCUCACCACGGCCAUUAAAAUUAUUAAUUUUGAGCCCCUUCGAUCAUUAGGCAAAUGAUAUCGAAAAAUCACAAAAUUUAUUUUUCAGGUAAUUCAAAUACUCUUGAUCAAGUCUAACAGAGCCAAUUGUCGAUUCGAAAAUCUCAACAUCGAAAACCAUGCACUUAGAAGUAUGGAGGGUUUCGUGCUUCCGGAAUCAUACCAGCCUCACUAAUUGAGUAAGUGGUUGCAAAUUAGAGGUGCCUCGAAAUUUGAUUAUCAACUUUGAUUUUGGGUCCAUGAUUUAUUGACAAUUUCGUAGUGCGAUAGAAUUUUUGGGAAAUGAAUUGUGGAAGAAAAAUGGAUGUUUGUGGUGGGUAGCGGAGACCUUGAUCUGAUGUAGCGUAUUGUAAUCUUCAUAACAUUGUACUUUCUUUUUCAUAGUAAAAUUCUCUCCUCUUUCAUCCAUGAUUUUUUUUCCUUAAAAGAAUUUUUCGCGUAAAUCUUUGUGUUCAUUUUAUUUUCUGCUUGUACUUUGUUUAUUUCACGUUUGCCGUCUUUCGUUUUUGUUUGUGUACUCGUCGUAACACUUUUAAUUUAAGAAUUCUUUGGUAUAAGGCCAAUCACUCUCCACACUUUAUAGAUCAGUUUCUUUUAGAAACUAUUUGAAUGUUUGAAUACUAGAACUUGGAUCAAAGUCUCUAAAGGCACUUAUGAUUAGUUUUUCUUUUUUCAGAAUAAUAAUUUAGAAGCAACAUAUAUCUAAGUAUACUAUCAUUACAACAAAAACGGUAUAUAGCGACACUUUUAAAUGUUGGUACAGGUCAAAAAAAGUGUUGCUGGCUAAAUUACCAACACUUUUAAAAGUGUUGUUAUAUGUGGAGUCGCUAGGUAUAUAGUAAUAGUUAAAGAGUGUCUCCAUAAUCUAAAAAGAGUCAUGCUAAUUUACCAACACUUAUUUAAGUAUUUAGCAACCGUCGGAAUUCUAGCUCGUUGGCUACGGUGGCGGAGGAGAAGGAGAGGGAAGGGCUUUUCGUCUAGGAUUUCAGUGGAUUGAGUAAAGGAAGAAUGGUAGAUGGUAAUCAAUUUUUCUUUUUCUUUUUUUUUUCUAUUUGUAAUCGGGCCGAAUGGCUUAGUGGGGUGAGUUGAGUGGAGUAAACUUUUAUUUUUGGUUGGAUUGGGCUUUAUAUUUAGCCAUUAGUAGAUUUUUUUUAAAGUUUUGGCAUAAAUGAGACACUUACACAAAAGUGUUCCAAACAUGUGUCCCUAUAACCUAAUUCUGUUGUAGUGUAUUCAUCUGUCAAUUGUUGCAUGAUCCUUGAGUAAACUAAGCCACAUGAUACUUUUUUUGAGAGAGAGAUAGGUAGCACGCUACCCGCUUCGUUUAUUUCAUUUAGAAAUAAAUUUAGCUGGAAAUGUGAAUCAAUUAGUAUUCGAACUUAGGUCUCGGGUACCAACCACCAACCCUUUUGCCACUUGCUGUAGGGACGGUCGGUUAAGCCACAUGAUACUAAACCGCAUGUUCAAGCAUCCAAAAAAGCUCUUAAAUAAAACUGGUGUUUUGUUUGGUCGGAUAUAUGUAGUUAUAACAUUUGCAUUUAACACGCAUGGUACUAUUUAGUUGAGAAUGUUGCGACUACGGAUUUUAAGUUUUGGUUACUUGCAAUUGAAAGCAAUAUUCGUGCAUCUUUCUAUUUUAAAUGCGAGAUGGUGAGAUUAACCUCAAAGAAGCAAUCUUUUCUCUUUUCUUUUCCUGAUGAGGCAAAAGAUAAGUAAUUAAUUAUUUAUCGAGUAGAGUUACUUUCUCCAGCUGCUAAAUUAUGAUUUACAUCUAAUUUCGAUAUAGGACGAAAUGCAACAAUCAAGCCUUUAUCUGUAUAAAUCCAAUUAUUGUAUCUAAGUCCUACACUAUAGGUAAUUAAAUAGAAUUUUUGGAGCUUGCGUACAAUUGUACCUAUAUUAUAGCUUACAAUGUAGAUAAUCAAACAGCUGAUUAAUGCAAAGGGAUAUAACUAAUAAAAAAAAUGAUUGUUAAAGAGAGGAUUAUUUUGAGGUUAUAAUUAGGCGCAUGUGUGAUGACACAUUAAUGAAUAACUUUAAUUAGAAAAAAAAAAAAAAGAAGCAUGCAUAUAGUUUGUCACGUUUUAGGCAGUGGAGAAUCUAUGGUACAAUGCCAUGCAAUGUGACACCACCAACUUUUUAGCUACAAUAUUUCUUUCCUAAAUUAAGAAAUGAUUUUACAAUGAUAAUAAUUCAUUGUUCAUUGGAGGGAAUUAACCAUCCUACCAUGCAUUAGGCAUUCAUAAAUCUUUCAUUAUUAAAUAUAUAAUUAUUGUUGAUUGGCUUGUCUGUGAGAAAGUACUUUUUGGGUAGAGUUGCUUAUCAGGUAUCAACUGCUUCAUCAACAUCUUCUAAUAUAGCUUUUUGUUGCAGCAGAAGCCAGAGAUGAUGAAGCUGAAGCAAAGCUUAUACUUUUGGCCUCCGAAAAUCUUCUUAGCUUUUCUUAGAUCCCCACAAUGCUUUUUAGUUUCUAGUCACAUUAAUAAAUUCAGAAUAUAUUUUCUUUCUUUUUUUUUCUCCAAUAUUUCAUCUAUUGAUUGUUUAUCUUCUUCAAAAUAGCCUAUAGUUUUGAGGGGGUUGAAUAUAUAUUUUCUCACCAUAUCCUUCAACACCUUUUAAGGGUCACGGGUAGAGUCGGUAAUUUAAUUUUUAAUUCAAUGAAACAAUUACAAUGUUUAACGGAGUUUACAAAUAAGGUUAAAUUUGAAAGAAUGUAUAUAUUUAGAUAGGUAAGCAUGAUAUUACUGAUUUUGUAAGAGUAUUUAUGAUAUUUUCAACUUUUGAAAGGUAUUGGUGAAAUUAACCCUAGAAAUUAAGUUGUUUACAACUAAAAUGAGUGGUUUCUAAAUUUGAAUUUAGUGUUGGGUCUCAUUCGGUCUCAUGACGAUUAAUAACUUUCUAAGACAAUUGAUAUAUAUACAUACUGCUUGUGCUCUCAGUAUUGUGACCCAAGAUUGAAUCCCGCUUUUAGUGGGAAGUGUGCCUACGAGCAAGAGAUUUCAUAUACAACUUCUUUUUCUUUUUUUUCUAAGAAAACGGUAGCAUAUUACCCAUUUCAUUCAUAAAGUAUGACACCUUAGGUAUCGUUUGGUUUAGGGAUAAGCAAAAAAUGGCUAUUCCAAGCGAGGAUUAGAUCAAUUUUGCGUUUGGAUGAAAAUUGGGUUAUUCCUGAGAAUAAAAAAAAUAGCGUUUGGUUAGGUAAGAUGGAAUAAGAAAGAUAGUGAGUUUUUACAAAUAAAAAAUAAUCAUAUUAUCCUCUUAUUAUAUUUGAAUUUAAAUUUUUAAAAUUUUAAAUUUAUAUUUUUAAAUUUAAAAUUUUAACUUUGAAAUUUUAAAUUUUAAAAUUUAAAAUCUCAAAUUUUAAAUUCAAAAUUUUAAAUUUUAAAUUUCAAACUUUAAAUUUAAGAUCAAAUUUAAAUUUGAAAAAUAUAAAAUAUCAAAUUUUAAAUUUCAAAAUUAAAAUAUCAAAAUUUAAAUUUAAAUUUUAAAAUUUAUAAUUUAAAAUUAUAAACUUUAAUUUUGAGAUUAUAAAUUAUAAAUUUUAAAAUUUUAAAUUUUAAAUUUUUAAAAUUUUAAAAUAAGUAUUGGAGUGGAACAAUUAAUAAAAAUAAUUUAUUAUAAUAAAUUUAUAAAUUUUUUUUUAAAAAUUCUACUUAAACUUAAAUUUAAUAAAACGAAUUUAUUAUAAUAUUAAAUAUAAUUUAUUAUAAUUCUUUUAUAAAUAUUUAAUAUGAAUAAUAUGUAUUAAUAUAUUACAGUUAUAAAUUUAUGAUAAAUUUAUUACGGCUCUAAUGUGUAGGGUUUCUUUUUUUUCUUUUUUUUUUACUUUUUUGUGCAUGUGUUGAGGCCUAGUUGCCUCAUUCCUAUAGACUUUAAUUAAAGUCUUCUAAAAUUCUUAAUGACAUGCAAUAGCUGUCCUGUGAAAUAUUUCUUCUUUUUUUUUUUUUUGCAACCACAAAACCCACUAGCUGGCACUACUAGAAACAAGCUCCCCUUUUGAAGGUUCUCAACUCAUAAUACACAUCUCCCGUAGAUAUCAACUGUUGAGCACAUUUAGAUCUCCCACUUGUUUGGCAUCAGGGGCGCCUCCAUCAUACAUUUGCUGAUCACGCAACCUACAAAAGAGUGAUCAGCAAUCUAUAGUUCGUUUUGACACAUCAUACAUUCCAGCUUUUCCUACCAUUCCUUUUUAGACAGAUUUUUUUUUUUUAUCAGUACUUUCUUCCUCACGAUCAACCAGAUGAAAAUCUAAACUUUCGACGGGCAUCGAAGCGUCCAAACAAUGGCUGCUGAUCUUACCAAGAUCUAGACUUGCACCUUAGAAUCAAAACACAAUUGGCAAAUUAUGCAGUAUAAAGCACUGGGUUAAAGAGUGGUACAAUACUCAGGAUGUGACAAAUCUGAGCUUGGAGGUAUUUGGUACCACAGAACAAAAGUUGAACUUCCUACAAGAUCCUCCAGAUGUUGGUUUUUGUUUCUAAAAUAUGUUUCUUCCACAUGAAUGAACUUACAUGCUUACAAUUGUCAAUUACGUUGCUAUGAGAUUGUAGUUUCACAAAUUAUCAGGAAUAAACUAAACUGUUGUUCAAUUUUAGAGUCGAUUGCAUUAUGUUCAAUGUUUUUACAUAUCAAACUGAUAUUGUAAAAUCACUUUAAGACUCUUCAAAUUAUUUGUCGAAUUUCUUAUAUUAAGCUGCAAUAAUAAAUACCGUUUACAGAUAGGAUAGGAAAUCAUGUAAAAAUGAAAUAUUAUACAUCAUAUUAUCUCAAACUAUAGCACAUUUUCACGUUGUCAUCUUGUGAUCUAAAAAAUUGUAGAAACCUAUCCAUGACUUUAUUUUUGUUCUAAGCAAAGUUUUUCGAAAACCACAAGAUCAUAGAAAUGCUCACAAUAAAACAAAAGUAACAAGUUAGCAAAGUAAAAACGCGCUAAACCCUACAAUAGUUAAGUACAACUUUUUAAACAUUGAGUGACAAAGUAAAAAAUAUACUAGACCACAGCGAGAUAAAUUGAUGUUCACCCUUAAAAACAAAAAGAUUACAAAAUACAUGGCAAAACAGACAAUCUAGUUGUAACAGAGUGAUUGAUUCCAAAUUUCUGAUAUUUUCUCCUAUUAUCUGCAGAUUUUGCAUGUACAUUCUUCCUCGAAAAAACAGUAAAAGGAAACCUUACAAGUUUUAGUCUCACUUAAAUACAUCUACAAAAAUUGUGAAAGAUAGAAUGUACUGUAACCAAAGACAGUUAACCGGUUAUCGACCAAGAACUGCAUAUAGAUCAUAUCGGCAAUGUCCUCAGCAAAUGAAGCGCGCGAGUCCACUGUGGACCCUCAGAGAGAAUGAUCCUCUUUAGCACUGGUACCGCCCCUGCAGAAAUUAUUGCCGGGUGGUUCUCUGCAUCCAUGCUUAGAUUGUAUAAAAUAGCCAAACUAGAUUCAAUAACAUCACCCUUUCCCUCUUCAAUAAGCUUCACUAAAUGAAAUAUCCCACCGGCAUUUGCAACCGCCUUUGCAAAUUCCAUUGAUCCUCCGGAAAUUAUCCUCUUCAAUUCCAAUACCGCAGCUCUUUUCGAUUCGUAGGAAAAUGAAGUUCUAAUCUGCUCAAUGAGUCUCGGAAUUGUUUCGUAGAUGAUUACUUCCUUGUCGACAGUAAAAUUUACAUUAUUUAAGGCGGAACCAAACUUAGAUUCGAGCUUCACAAGGCAUGCUGCCACCCAGUCCUUCGUGCGGAGCGGAAUAUCAGAUUUUAGGAUUUUCCGAAGUUGAAUUACGUAUUUUGCAGGGUCUAUCGUACGAUUGAAUUGGUCAAAAUUUAACAACUUUGUGAGUAGUCUAGCGGCAGCAGAAGUUGCGAGGCCAAUUUCUUCUAUUUCAACGAUAGUUGGCUCAGGCUGGUUCUCAGUAUCAUCCUCCUCCACUGCACAAAAGUCAAGUAAAUCAAAUGUGUUAAAUUAGUAUUGUAUUGACCAAAUUAUGGAAUAGUAAGAGAAGUUCAGUAUUAGAUUAACCAGAUUUAUGUGAAAAAAUAAUCAAAAACAAAAAGCAAAAUACUGUUGGCAGUUUAGUUAAUCCUUCUCUUUUUAACAUUUUUUUCAGUUCACUCUUCUCAUUUCCCCCCGUCAGUUCUUCCACACGAACGAGAAAGAAAUCUGGGAAGAAAAUAUGGAUGGUUGGUGGUGGAUCUGGGGUGUCUCAGCAUUAGCCUUUCCUUUGGUUGGAAAGAUCCAGGGCAUCUAGACUUAGCUCUUCCUUUGGCCUCCAACCAAGGAGGCAAUCGGAUAUGACAGAUGGUGAGGCUUAACAAGUUGUAUUAGUAACGAUGCUCAAAAGGCAUCCAUGAGUGAUUCUGACAGCUGUAGACGGACAAAAUGGGAAAGACAGCCAAGAAGAAAAAGGAAAAAAAUAAAAUAAAAUAAAAAAUAAAAAGUACAGAUUUUAUUAGAACCGACGGUGCCCGAAAUUUUUGGAUAGCAAAGUUUCCAAAACUAAAGAAAGGUUAGUUUACUAAAAUCAAAAUUUUAAAGUUUAGGUACUCAUUUCAAGAUAGACUGUAGGUAGAGGUGUAAAGCGGGCCACCUUGGCCCAACCGGGCACCGCACGAGUACUUCACCCGUGCUGUGCUGGCCUAGCCCGAAUGUGUGGGCCAUGCUAGGCCGACUCCCCAAGGCCUGUCGGCCCGGCAUAGCACAACCCACAAUAGGCUGGGCUGUGUCGUGCCAGGGGAUUGGCCCGUAGCCCGACACGAAAUUUCCUGUAAGGAUUGUAUUUGCCAGGCCAGCACGGCUUUGACCUAGCCUUAGAGACCUAGUCUCCCUAGCUCCCUCAAGAGAAAGGCCUAGCCAUUAUGGCUAAGCCCUUCUACCAAGGCCUUAGGCCCAAGACUAAAGACUAAACAUUUGCCUUUUUAAGCCCUCAAGACCAAAUAGGGACCAAGCGCUACCCCUUCUCCUAAGGGUAAGACCUUAUUUUGGUUCAUUUAAAUAUAUCAAAAUCUAUUUAAGUGGAUCAAAAUAUCCUUCCCGACAGUCAAAAAUCAUACUAGUGGGAAGGGUAUUUCGGUCUAUAUAUUUUUUAAAAAAAAAUCAAUUUUUUAAAUUUUUUAUCUCUAUAAAUACUUUUUAAUUUUAUAGUUUUAUUUUAGAUUUAAUAAAAUUUUAAAAAGACAAAUAAAUAAAAUAAAUAAAAGGGCCAGAAUAGAGCGUGGCCCAACGUGGCACUGCCCAUGCCGUUUAGGCUAGGUGGACGUAUUGGACAGACGAUCCAAGAAAUUCAGCUCGGCGCGACACAAACCGGAUAAAUGUGGAUCGUGCUAGCCCAGCACUGCCGACAUUACACCCUAAACUACAAAUCAAAUAAGUAUGUUUUCAACUUCAUCUUUUAUCUUUUCCCUCCCUAUGACUCUUAUAUGCAAAUUACUAUAUAAGUCCGGUUUGGUUGUUUAAUAAGGUUUUCCUUUUCAAUAUAUUGCAUUUUACUUUUCUUGUAUGAAAUGUUAAAUAAAUCACAUAUUGUAACAAAGCUCUCCAAGUGACCAAAGUGAUCCGAGCAGAAUACUUGAUACAGGUUGUUACACUGUAGCUUAGUUACAGAACAAUAUAAAUAUUCAAGAAAAAGUGCAUUCUUUGUAUUCCAUUAGAUUUCGACAUAAUGGAUCCUUCCUCUACCAAAAUAGUGAUUUCUAGAUUAGCUUACACAAUUCUCCCCCCAAAUUAUUAUCAAACAAAACAACCCCCGAUAGAUCGAUGAAGAAGCAUAAUCUGUGCAUUAUAAGAAAUCUAGGCCUCUAAAGAGAGAGAACGUGUACCAUUCAGAACUCCCUUUUGAAAAACAGCAUCGAGUCCCGACUCAAUUCCAGCAGCAGUCAUUGAGGUAGUAUGUGGUUCAAAAUUUGCUAAAUACUCGAGGAAAGAAGCAACUUUUGUUUGCACACUUGGUGAUGCUUUCCUCAGAAGAUCAAUUAAGCGUGAUAUAAUACCAAAGCCAAUAAUCUCCAUCCUAUGAGCAUUUAAGAGCAAACUGUUAGUGUAGCAUUACAUAGAAAAGUUAGGGACGAAAGGAAGGUUCCUUCAAAAUAGAUGUUCAUUGCAAAGAUAUAAAAAUAAUGACAAAAGAAAUAUGUAAAUUGGGGUAUAAAAAGCAUUUGCAGGGGUUAGUACUUUUAAGAAGGUUUGGACAGUGGGAUUUAUAUAAUAAUGAAAUGCUCUAAGAUAUGCAUUUGGUAGCAUUUGAACAAGUUAUGAACGAUAGAGCAAUAAUAUCCAAUCUUUAGCGAGCAGAAGAAAGUCAUCACACUUCAUCAAUUCUUCUAAGGGUCAUUUACUAACUACAAAUUUGAAAGCUCAACCGCUAGAUAAAACAGCAAGAAAUGCUUGUUAACAUAAUAUUUCAAGUUAGACUGUUCUUGCUAAUUUAUCUUCCACCCCUUUCCGCAUAAGUCUAGGCAUAACCCUUCUUCAAACAUAUGAUAAAGCAAAAAACUGAUGACGAAAGGUUCACUAUCAGUUUAUCACUAUAUCACAAACUCUAUGUCCCAUGACAUGGCCCAAGAGUCAACUAUUUUGUUCUUGCAACAAAUCGCUAGUCCUUAAGUUUGUACACUACUUAUGAAAGGAAAGAAAUCCUUCAAAAGCAAGGUGCCAUGAGAUAGGUUAAUCGCCACAGUUUUAUGGUUGCAAUAAUCCUCAACACUUACUGUUAAAGAAAAAAUCGUCUAGGUACAUGCACCUUCCAUCAAUGUAGGGUUUACCAUUAGAGUUCAAUCAUUCCCUACCAGACGUCUCACCAUUUAAAGGGAAUGAGAUGCCUCAGAUCUUUCCUUCAGAGGGGACUUUUUACUAUAAUAUUUAGUAAUACACUUAAUUUCAUUGUUCAACUUUAACAUCAUUAUUCAUUAUUCAGCGCUUAACAUCACUAAAAAAAAGAAAGAAAACAGAUUUAUUUAUAGCCCAUCAUACCAAGUAAUAUCCAACAUCUCGAUGUUUGUUAUAUAAUACGGUUAAUUUCAUACGUGUCCCUGUAAAGAUACCAAAUAGCAAAUAUAUCUCUACAAAGUUUUAAGUUAUCAGAUUUGUCCCUCUAAAGUUUAAUCUUGUUGCAUAUAUAUCCCUAUUAUUAGUCCCUAUAAAAAAAAUUUGAUUAACCAUGGUAAAAAUAUUAAUCAUAGUCAAGAAGUAAAAUGACCUUUUCACUCUUGUUAUAUAUAAUUCUCAUUAACUAAUGGGUCCUAGGUUACAUGUGAAGUCAAAGGGUGUGACAAAGAGGAAGCUGCUAGGGGACGAACGUUCCUAUCGUUCCACGAAGCCCUCCGAUGUAGUCCUCGUGCAAAAUUAACUUUAUUAAGAAGAGGAGAUAAGUGAAGGAGAAGUGAUAGGUGCAGGAGGGGUGGGAGUUGGGUGAAGAAGAGGAGCAAGAGAAGAGAUGCCAACAACGAGGGGUUGGAUGGAUUUUAAUAGAGGAAGAAGAUGACUGUUGGGACUUUUCGGGAGUGCAUAUUUGCACACUCCUAACUGUUAGGACUUUUUAGAGGAGCAAAUUUGCAAUUGCAAAACUGUCAUUUUACUUACCAACUGUUAAUAAACAAACAAUAGACUAACGGCAACAAACUAGAGAGACAAAUGUAAACAUGUUAGAACUUCAAGAGGGGCAAAUCUGAUAACUUAAAAUUUUAUAGGGAGAUAUUUGCUAUUCAAUAUCUUUACAGGGACAUGACUGAAAUUAACCCUAUAUAAUUAUACCAUAUUAUUAAAGGAAUAAUAACCUUUCCCUUUAUUCUCUUUAGUAAUCGUUCCCAGCGCAAGUGGCAAAGGACUUGAUGGUUGAUACCCGUGGUCCCAAGUUUGAAACCUAGUUGCUUUACAUUUCCAGCUAAAUUCAUUUCUUAAAAAUGAACGAAGCAGGUAGCAUGCUACCUUUCUCCCAAAAAAAAAAGAAAAAAAAAAUUCUCUUUAUCCUGUCAAUAACCAGUAAUAAAAACUUAAAAGUGGAACCUAGCCCUUCCAGCAAAAGAGAUACAGUUGAAGCCAAAUUGGCAACUUCUAUAUAGCAGCAUUGGCAUCUUCAAAUAGCAUUUAUUUCCAUGGAUCUUUCUGGUAGCUAGAUAAUAAAUAAAAUAAAAAAAAAAUCUAUAUAAUCAAAUAGUAGUGCUUCACUGAACACGUAAUAACACUACCCAGAUGAAAAACUUCUGCAGCAUUACCAUCUUAUAAAUUUAUGCAAAUUCAGUCAAGAAAAGUCACAAACACCAACAAUAAAUACCAAAUAGUUACACUUCCUUUCCCCAUGAGAAGUGACAACUGCAGCUAUUUGAAGUCAAACUGCUUUCCAGAUUGGGCUUUUUCUCAACUUAGUACAGCAAUGUAUAAAAAGGGUUUACCAGUGAAGAUUCAGUUAAGUAGUUCUUGAACAAGAGAAAUUAAUUAGUACAGAAAAAUGGUUGGCUCAAUCAAGGGCAAAAUAAAUCUGGUAAAUAAUGGACCUUCAAGCGAAUGCAAUGCAAAACACCAUAUCAGGGAAACAACAAUAACCAACCUCGUCAUAGGUUCUUGCUUCAAUAAGGUUUGAAGAAACCCGCCAGCAUCAUCAGAACUAUUUGCCGAAUUCACCUUUCCCUCAGUUCCAUUGACAACUUUGUCAUCAAACUGUCAAAUUCAUCACAGACGUCUUACUAUUAAAAGGAUAACAAUCAAAAGUUUUCAUGAUAGUUACCAUCUCACUUACCAUUCUUUUCAAGCCAUUGCCUGUAUCAAAAAUUCGAGAAAGUAUAUCAAUAGUCUGCAAUAAAGAUUUUCUGUGAGCAUUUGGACCAGAUAAGCUAAACUUAUCAGGGUUUAUAAAGGAUAAGUUAGCUCAGGUACUGAAUAACCUUUUCGAGUAGGGCGACUGGUGUACUUGGGUCCUUCAAAAUAUUAAUUAGAGGCUCCAGAGCACCUUCUGCUUCAAUUGUCCUGCAAACUAUAUUGCUGCAGAAAAAAAACAAAGAAUAAGCUAAGAGGGUAAUAUUAUCAGAGUAUAUUUAAUUUUAAAGUUUCAGAACUGCCAAGUGAAUCGUUAUCAGGGUCAGUUUUCAAUGGAAUGUCAUGGUUCAACACUUUAACAAGGCAAGAGAAUUCAGUGCACAUUAAGAUCAAGACCAACAUGCUUACAAUGAUAGGCUUUGAGGCUCUGUAGAACUAGUCAAAAGGAAGCCGAAGUAUGUGAUUUGAAAAUCAAAUCUAAGAAUUCAUCAGGUUGAACUAGCUGCGUAGAACCAUACAUUGUUAAUUUGUUAAAUACCAAUGCCAUCACAUAGACAAAUAGGAUAUAAAGAAAGGUUAUUUCAAAAAUCCAAAACACGAAAAAAUAGAGAGAAUAAGCAGACAAAGCAUUAAAAAAAAUAAUAAUAAAGCUAAUGAAGAUGUUCGUCAUACUACAAUUUCUGCAACCCUCACUCAAACAAGCCAUAAGGUAAUCUGUGAUCACAUAGUAUUUUCAUCGUCUUAACACUACUUCAAAGGACGGAGAAAAUAGCACAGCUCAGUCUUUGAGGAACCAAAGCAUAAUUUUCCAUGACUAAUAAGCAGCAUGCACCAAGGUGUUGUCAAUCAAUUUGGUAGAGCUUGCUAAAGCAUGAAUUUCAGAGGUUUCUGACAAAAAUUUAUUUUCGGGUUAAAUAAACAAGUGGUUGACGAGUCGGCAAAGGUGAGAUCAACAAAUUAUCCACCAGUUUGUGUUCUGUGCUGAAAUUUUUCUGAUCUUCAACUGGAACAUCAUAGAAACUCUGGUCAAUUCAGGGGGUCAAUUGGCAUCUGUUGAUGAUACAAACACAUCCAAAAAGGGCAGAGUAUUCAUGAAGAGAGAAGAAGCAUUAGAGAAAAUGAGGACCUCACAAUGAGGAAGAAGAAAAGGCGAUGAAGAUGGAAGGUGUACACAGCUUCGAUGACCCAAAACACCUCAAAUCACUUAAUAAUCAAGUAUUAACUCAAUACCCACAAAUUUGUAAGCCCUAAAAGUAGUAAUAUACAAGUCACUACACUGAGUUCCUGGAGGAAUCCCAUAUCGUCUUCCAAGUAAUUCAACAAGCCUAUUAAAUGAGUCAAGCAUAACCAAUUGAAGCAAAUAGUUGUAUCUGCUAAGUUCUCUAGAGAUGAAUGUAAACAACAUUUCUUUUGCUGAUUUUAGGUCAUGUUCAUUUUGGCCAUGGUUCCAAGGUUCUUAAUAGUGAAGUUCAAAAUUUUGUUCAAGAAAACUUACGUCUAGUGCAUGCAAGGUGUUGCAGUCUAUUUGAAUAAAACAACGAAAAGGAAAAGGCAGGGUAUAACCACCUGAUACUUAGCUUGUCCAAUGCAUGAGCAACAGCUUCUCUGACAGUCAAUCUAUCAUGGUGCAGUAGCUGAACUAAUUGUCUAACAGCUCCAGCUUCCUUGAAAGAAUUACGCAUGUGCUCAUUUACAGAUGCAUCAGCAACUGAAUAAGCUGCCCGUAUAAUAGCAGAAGUAUCUUCAAGCCCAAGAAUCAAAACCAAUCUUGCAACACCAUCUAUCCAGGGCAAAAGAGUAUACUGUUCUUUCUGUGGAGAUUCAUUUUGAAUUUUUUCUCCAUCCUCCAUCUCAAUUGCACCGAUUCGUACAAGAAAUUGCUGUUGAGAACGCCCGACUAUUGCAUUCAUCUUAGCCUCUUCAAGUUUCAAGUUCUUCUCUUCAAUAUUCAAUCCAACAAGUAACUCAGACGCACCAUAUCUUGAAGGGCGCGAAUUUCGCUGAAUUUCAGUUCCAUCAGGUAAAGAGGGCCACGAAUGAGUUGAGGGUUUGAAAGCUUUAUAUGCUGCAGAACCCACAACAGGAACCCUAACUAAACCCUCUUCAAUUAUGAGAAUUCUGUAGUAUUCAUCCUUGCAAAGCUCAAGUAAUGCGGUUUUAGCUUCCUUUCUGAUGACUUUAUAGCCUUCCUGUUUGCCUUUUAGAAGAUCAGCCUGCAAACGAUUAUUCAUGUUUAGAAUGCAAAAAACAAGAGAAACAGGAUAGUUGUUGAUACAGAUGAGAGAAUGAACAGUACAUAUAAGCAAUCAGAUUAAUCUAACGGUUUUCUCAAGAUAGCAUAAUAUUCACUGAAUUUUGUUUGUACACAAUUCAUAUACAUUACUUUUACAUUGGACUUACUGUAAAAACAAAAAUUUAUUCUCAAUCAGUAGCUCUGAACCUAGAUUACAAACUAAUGUAAGACUGAAGCUAACUUACAGGCACUCUUUCAAGAUGUUGGAAUAGCAACUAACCGGCACUUCACUUUGGGCGGGCAUCUCCCACAAGCAAUAGUAACGUAUACAGAAAAUUUGGACAUGUUGAUAACUUGGAAGGAAAAAAAGGUGAAAAGCAAUGUCCGGAGUUUACAAUUAUGACAACAAUGAACUUGAGCACUAUAAGCACCAUUUCUUCCGACUGAUAUGCUAAUCAUUCUAAUAAUUUGAUGAUACUUAGUUAAGAUAAAAUGCUACCUGUUAACUCCAUAUAGGGGUGUACAUCUUAUACCCUUGCAUUUAGACCCCUUUUUAAUAUUUAGAGAGAGGGGGAGGGACGGGGUUGGGGGGGGGGNGCGCAGGCAGUGUGUGUGAAGUUUGAUAAGACAAGCGAGUAGAUCCUAGCCUUUCAGAGGCUAGGGUCUAAAAACCUAAGGUGUACAGGUAGCAUUGCUUGUUAGUUGAGAUUUUUGCAAUUACAAUUCAUUUGUUUGGAUGCAGUUCAAAGCUGCACUUGCAAAUCUUGUCAUUUUAGAUAUGGGAUAGUGGAAUUACCUCAAUGGCAAAAAAGUUUCCCUUUCUUGUUAAUGAGGUCUCCUAUCAUAGAGUAACUCUUUCGAACCGUUUUAAUUCUACUUACAUUCAAUUUGAGUGCAGGACAAGAUUUAGCAGUUGGGCCUUCAUUAGUAGGUCUAACUACAUCUACGUCAAGGGUUGUCAUGCCACUAACACAGGACUUGUCGUGGCAUGACAAGACACACUGGCACACCUCAGCACAAACCCUCUUUUCUAUCACGGCACAGGCAGCAUGAACAGCACACAUCAAUCAUGCCCACCUGUGCCAGCUGGCAAUAAUUGAAAAAACGUUAAACAAGAAAGUACCCAAUGGUAAAAGAAAACCUUGAUCUUAGUACAACAACAACAAACCAAGCAGAAUUUCAGGGCAUGUUAGCAGCUGCACCUACAAUGUAGUUUUUAGAUGCAGACAACCAAACAGCCCCUAGAAGAAGAUUUGAAACAUGGGUUGGCUUUGGUAAGUCACUAAGGACAUAUAUUGCACAAAUAGUAUCAUUUGUUCGAUGAAGUUUUCUCAAGACUAAUACUCAUCAAAGGCUGUAAUAACAAAUGCUAAGACAUUGCAAGCCUCCUUGUAUCAGUUUGAACUAUGAGCUUACUUGAAUUGAAUAGACAAGCAUUAAAUGUUUAAACAGUCUAAAGAGAGACUUACCAAUUUUGAAUAGACAAGCAUUAAAUGUUUAAACAGUCUAAAGAGAGACUUACCAAUUUUGGUAUUACCCCCACUUCGACCAUAAUGCCAUGAUUGGCAUGACUUAAAGCCAAAUUUGCAAGGAUCCCACCAGCUGCCUCUUUAACUUUUAUCUCUUCAUCAUCAAGAAACCUAACAAGCUUCGGUAGAAGAUCACUUUCUACGAUCUUCGGUCUAAGCUUCUCGUCCACAGAUAAAUUCCACAAAGCAAAUAAACCUUGCUCCUUAACCUGCAGAUACAUGCCGGCAACAGAUCAGCUCUAUCAGCGACAAAUUUUGAAGAGAUGCUUAAAUAUAUCUCUUUAUAUACUCAGCAAGAUCAUUUAUAUACAUCUAUAGCUGCAAAAUCUGGAUGUUCAUAUAUGCCCACCCUUGUACUUGGAAAAAGCUCCCCUCUUUAGAAACUUUAUUCUAAUAUAAAACCAACUUCUUCCCACGAAUUUAAUAACAUCCAAACUCCAGAAUAGUUUCGUAAGAACAUGCACUGUCAAAGGGUACAUAUGGAAAUUCAGAAUUUACAAGUAAGGAUUUAAGUGCCAUAGCACGGGAUCGUGCCGGAAACUUGCCGGCACGGUACGGCACGGUGAGUGCCGAGCCGUGCCGAUGCGUGCCAAUCAAAAAAAUUCUUGUGUGCCGACACAUAAUAGUAUGAAAUAUUUAUUUUCUUUAGCAAUAAAAUAUUCUAACCAUUUAUUAUGUCUUUUUAUCACAUCUUUUGAACAUUAUUGAGAAAAUUACUUACUAAUUUAAAGAAUAGAGGGUUUUGAGCUGUGCCAUCGGCACGGGGUCUGUAUCGUGCCGCUAUCUUGUUGGCACGGUACAGCACAAUGGAUACGGCCCGUGCCGACAGGCACUUAAAACCUUAUUUACAAGGGUAUACAAGUUUCUAGGUGAUUUCGCAAGGUUACAUACAUAAAAACCCAAUUUUAAGUACCUCUGGGGCAAUUGAAGAUUGGCAAAGAAGACUAGAAAUUUCCUCUAUUGCUCCACUUUCGGCAACAGCAUCCCUGUAUAACUUUACAGAAGUUACAUUUCGUAGAAGACCUGCGGCAGCUUCACAUGUAGAACAAGACUCGGAUUUGAGAAGGCUGGUGACAAGAUUAAUACAGCCAGGAAACUGCAUGAUAUCAUCAAUACACUUCCGUCCUCCUUGUGAGUAUUGCCAGAGUGUAAUAAUGGCAUGCUCCCGGUCUAACGGGUCAUUGUCUAGGCCAAGCAUUCGAACAAAAAGACCUAUGUAGGCUUCCCCAGAAGUCACAGUUCUGCUCAAUUGUUCAAUAUCCUGAUCAAAAAUAUUCAAGGACACAUUAAUUUAAAGGGAAUCAUUUGCUUAAUGAUAUACUGACUAGAAAAGCAUAAGAAAGAAUGAAAAGCAUUGUAACGUUGAAAGUUAACAAAAUCUGCAGUACAAAACAACUCAAUCCAGCAUUCAAAUAAAAGUAUCAUCUCGACAUGAAACUCUAUGAAUUGAUACUUCUUCAAGAACAAGAUUCGCUCUUAUUAUAGAUACUAGGUGGAAAUACAGCACCUAAAACAAGUAACUGAGGGAAUAGCUAAAACACCCUAAACAAGUAACCGAGGCAAUAAAAUCUCUAUGUUUCCAUUUACUCAUCUAAUAUCAUUGUCGAACAACGUUCACUUGCCACACCAGUGCUCCAAGAAACAGGUGAUGAACAAAUUGAUGGUCCAAGAAUCAAAUCAUUGCCAUACCACAUGAGUUCAAUAGUUAGGAUGGAGUUCUCCAUGUAAAUUUCACAGGAACCCCAGAGCUUAUUUUGCAUAUAUAUAUAUAUAUAGGUCCGAAUUGUUUUCAUCCUCCCUACAUCCAAUGUUGAGGUUGCUACAAGAAACGGGAGAAACAUUGGCUUAAAGCUGCUUCGACAAAAAAAAUUUCCGUAAUAUCCCAUAUUUCAUGAGGUCCCUCCUAAGACACAUCCAAAAUUCCAUCAUUUACAACUCAAAAUUAUGUCAUUUUACAACUCAAAGGAAUGUCACUUUACAACUCAAAGUAAGGUCACUCGGGACUAAAUAAAAGCAUAAUAGUUUCAAAAUAAGUGCCAGUUCGUCCCACUUCUACUUCUGUUUUUAGUUGCAGUCACCUUCCAAAGUGUUCAGCAAUAAGCCCAUAACUUCGAUUGCGGUGAGAAACAGAAAUGCAAUUUUGAGUAGGGAUGUCAACGGGUCGGAUGCCGGGUAGAUUUUCAAAAAUCCGAACCCGAACCCGACUCCAAACCCGAACCCAAACCCGAACCCGACGGAUUUUAAAAAUCCAUACCCAAACCCCCAAACCCAAACCCGAAAAUCCGAACCCGAAAAAAUUAUUUCACUUUUCAAUAUUUCAAAUAUAUUACAUUAAAUCUAAAUUUUUAAAAUACAAAUUUUAUAUACAUAUUAUAUACAAUGUAAAAUAAAUUCGGGUUCGGGUCGGGUACAAUCAAAAUCCAUAUCCGAAUCCAUAUCCGUCAGGCAUUUGGUUUUUAUAUCAAUAUCCAAAGCCAUAUCCGCUUAGCAUCGGGUAAAUCCGCUCCUUUCGGGUUCGGAUUCGAAUAAAAUUUCGGGUAUCUGUACCCAUUGACAACCCUAAUUUUGAGGCACAAAAGCAGAAAAGACCAACCAAUUCAGAGAUUUCAAUUCUGCUGCACAGAGAAUCUAUUUGUAAAUUUGCAAUAUAGUAAUUCUCCAAACAACACUACUCAAAAAACACUUCACCAAACUCUCAAACCUCAAUCGAUUCAGUAGCUAAACCAAUUCAAAGAUUUCAAUUCUGCUGCACAGAGAAUCUAUUUGAAAAUUUGCAAUAUAGUAAUUCUCCAAACAACACUACUCAAAAAACACUUCACCAAGCUCUCAAACCUCAAUCGAUUCAGUAGCUAAACCCUCCUGGCUAUUAUAUUGCAUAACUUCCAAAACAAACGCCUCUCACAUGUUCGACGAUAUUCCCCACAGAAUCCUACGACCAAUCGAAUACACAACAAAUAACACCACUUUCACAUUCAAAUCAUAUCCACGAAAACAAUAAAACAACCAACAUCAAUUUCCUCCUGGCCACCAUAUUAGGUAACCUUCAAAAACAUGAUUCCUCUCACAUGUCGACGAUACUCCCGACAGAAUCCUGCGAGUAAUCAAAGCAACAACAACUAACACCACUUUCACAUUCUAAUCAUAUACACGAAAACAAUAAAACAACCAACAUCAAUUUCCUCCUGACUACCAUAUUAGGUAACUUUCAAAAGCAUGAUGCCUCUCACAUGUUCGACGAUACUCCCCACAGAAUCCUACGACUAAUCGAAGCAACAACGACUAACACCAAUGCCUCUCACAUGUUCGACACUACUCCCCACAGAAUCCUACGACUAAUCAAAGCAACAACAACUAACACCACUUUCACAUUCGAAUCAUAUCCACAAAAACAAUAAAACAACCAACAUCAAUUUCCUCCUGACUACCAUAUUAGGUAACCUUCAAAAACAAGAUGCCCCUCACAUGUUCGACGAUAUUCCCCACAGAAUCCUACAACUAAUCAAAGCCACAACAACUAACACCACUUUCACAUUCGAAUCAUAUCCACGACAACAACGAAUAACCAAACACCAGUUUCUCUCACCUGGGGAGAGGACCCGGCACCGCCGCCGUCGUCGGCGGUGGCACCCGCCAGUAGGCGGCGGCGGCGGCGGAGGAGGGGAACAUCCGGGGGGCGGCGGAGGCGGAGGUGAGGAGAGUGUGGAGGGGUGAGGAAGAAGGGUUUGGAGGGGGGAAGAGGAGGAAGAGGAAGAGGAAGAGGGAGGAUUAAGGAAGAGAGAGCGAGCAUCGUAAUCGUCGUAAUAGUAGCAGCAGUAGUAGUAGUUAGAAGAGAAGUACAAGAAGAAACACGCACGCUCUUCGUUUCUCCCCCUCUUGUGAGGACUGAGGAGAGGAGAAAUGGGGAUUACCCAACGACCGCCAACAGAUAAAUCUAGACGCUUCUAACCCAAUGGAUGCAAAUGGAUCCGGGUUUGUAAAGCUUCCGCCCUGUGAGAACAAAAAAAAUAUAAAAAAAAAUAUAAUCUAUUCUGAAUCCAUUCCGUGCCACCAAGUAAAUAAAACGAAAGACAGGAGAUUCUUUUCUUCCUUCAAUCCGUCCCGAUCUGUUAAAAAUCCGGCAAAAAUUCACUCCCGUCCCAAAUAGGGCGGUAAGUGAGAGCAAAAAAUAAAAUAAAAAAUAAUCCGUCUCGAAUCCGCCCCGCCCGGGCAAGAAAUGGAGCGAGAGGUGGAGAACCCUCCUCCAAUCCACCGUGUUUGUAUCCCUACUUUCCACUUCGGUCUCUAGCUUUGUCUCUAAUUAGUUUUCUUUUUUUGGGACGGGGAUAAGGCUAAAUUACUCUGUAAAUAAUUAUUUUUUAUUUUUUUAUUUUUUUAUUUUUAAAAAUCUAUAUUUGUCUCCUAAAAAUUUUAAAAAUAUUUUUCAGAGGGGUACGGCGUUAAUGUAGAGGGCAAAAUAACCAAAUUAUGAAAGAAAAAUUAUUUUUUAAUACAUUUUCGUCAUUUUAAAAGAAAUUUUUAGUAUAAAUUAUAAAAAAUGAUCGGAAAAGUGAUGGAACACUGAAGGAGGGGAGCUAAAUGCAAUAACUUAAAAUGUUGAGAGGGUAAAAUAUAGAUUUUUGAAAGUUAGAAAGAGAAAAUUUAAAAAAAAAGUAUUUAUAAGGAGUUUUCCAUAAUUUAGUCUUUCGAUAUGGAGUUGAGUUGCUAUGCUUUUAAAAGGCGAUUUUUAGUGCAAUAACCCUCCCCUAAAAUUUUAUUUUAAAAAUAGACCCGUUAAAUUUUAAUUUGUAAAUAUGGUCCUAUAAAAGCGGUGAAUCAUUCACCGCUUUCUUUCUCUUUCUCACUUUUUUCUAUAUUUCUACGAUGGUAAAAGCGGUGAAUGGUUCACCGCUUUUAUUCUUUUUCUACUUCUAGAGAAGAGUUAUGAAUGCGGUGAAUCAUUCAUCGCAUUUAGAGGUCUAUUUUAUAAUUAUUUUUUAAAAAAAAUUAUUUUUACAAUUAUAAAAAUCAAUAGGAUUAUUUAUAAAAAAAAUUCUUUUAAAAGCACAAAAACAUCCAUGCUUAUAAUUUUUUAACCGUUGAAUCGUCUCAGGAUUCGUACAGUACUAGUAAAAAAAAAAAAUCUUAAUAGGAUACACAAUUAAUAGUACUAUAAAAAUUUUGAGUCAAUUCGACGAUUAAAAUCACAAGCACAGAUAUUUUUAGUUUAAAAGUACACUAGUGUAGUUACCCGCACGAUGCGACGAGUAGAUAUUAUCAAAAUAAUUAUUUUUUUUAGUCAUUGUUGAUCGUCGAUAAUAUUUUGGAGAAAUAAGUCUAAAAUAUACAGUUCAUCAAAUACAUAGAAAAUAAUACUCUAAAUAUGAAAUGAAGAACAUUAGUUUAAAUAGUUCGCAAGAAUUGGUAAAAAACUACUAAAAAUAAUUUUUUAUAUGUAUUCACUCAACAAUCUAUACAAUUAAACUCAAAGUGAAGAAAGUGAUUAAACUAUAAAAAAAAGAUAAAUACACGUCUACAAGAUAUAAAAUCUUUAGAAUUAAACAGUAUACAGGAAACAUAAAUAACGUAAACAAUCGUACAUACAAAUAAAUCACAGAAUAUGUCCAAAAUUUAUGGGUUCUCCCUUGUAUAGAGGAGCAAUAAGGGUACCAAAAUUCUAAGAUCCUCCUUGUCGAUGAUGUUGAACCUCUGGCGAAAAUACUUGUGAAGAACCUCCCAAACGACAUUGGACACCUUGUUCCCCACCUCAAGGAUCUGAUCUAUAGAGUCGAAAAUUAGAUCGAUCAAAGACAAAAUCAAUAGAAAAUAAUGCAAAACCCUACCAAUUCGAGGCGAUUUUGAACCGUGGGCAAGAUUUGCCAAAACUUCUUGAGCAUACGUAGAGAGAGAGAUUAGUGACGGAUAAAUAUUACUAAUAAUUCAAUAGAGAUGAGACAAUUAUAUUAACUCAAUAGAGAUGAGACAAUUAUAUUAACAAAAUCUCUAAAACACAAAAAAAAAAGAAUAUUAGUAAUUUAGCAAAGUUUUUAUCAAGAGUCUUGAUGAACUGGUUCAAAGUGGGGAGCACCUUCAACCUCUGCUUGAGAAUUCUACUCUGUCACUAGAUGCGCACCACCUUCAGCACUUCACGAAGCAAAUGAAGUCCCUCUUCAGCUAGAGAGCUCUGCCGAUCCCGAAGAGGAUCAUUCCAUGACACCACUUUGAGUAUAGCUUUGGAGGGUACAGAAGAGGCAGAAAUCCUAAAAGGAGUGUGAGAGAUAAAGAAGAGAGGGUUUAUAAAAAACGUGUGGAAAAAGUACCAACAAAUCUCGUAUGGUCUCGACCAUUGAAUAUAUUGAUGAGGAAAUGAUCGGUUUAUGUCGAUCGUUCGAUUGAAGAUUGUAAGGGUUUGGAUUAAAUUGAUGUGUGGUGUCUCUUUUGCAAAGACUCGUAGUGGUUAGGGAAGAAUGGGGAGUUACAGAAAAGGGGGAAGACGGAGGGACGCAGGAAGAAGAAAGGAAAAGGGAUGACACAUGAGUUAUAUAGAUGGUUGUGGAGAAGAAUGAGGAGUUAUACAGAGGAGGAAAAUGAAGUGACACAGGGAGGGAAAGAGAAGACGGAGUCACGGGAGUUACAUAGAGAGAGAGGGUAAGCGAGCCAUCUAAAUGAGAAAAAAAAAACUCUUAAAACAAGGAUGUUGCGCCACGUCAGCAAAAUUAUUGGGAAAUAAUAUAUGUUUAUAGAUUUAUAGAUUAUUGGGAAAUAAUAUAUGUUUAUAGAUGUUGCGCCAUGUCAGCAAAAUUAUUGAGAAAUAAUAUAUGUUUAAAGAUGAGCACAAUUCAUAUCUAAUAUUGCCCUUCAAAACUUUCAAAAUAUCUAACAUAUAUCUAUUAAUCAAAAUACCUUUAUUAAUUUUCAAAAGUUUCUUCAAAAAUCCAAACAUCUGAGAUUUAGUAAUGGAAAUUGGGAUUUAGAAGGGUACUUAGAUAAUUUUAGGUUAAAUUUGAAAAUUUUGAAUAGUAGCCAAGAGUAAAUAAGCAAAAUCCUUCUUUUUUGGUAUAAAAUUACAGAACUUAUUUAUACUAUGGAUCAUUUUGAUUCGACAAUUCAAUCUGUGAAAAUUUUAACUUUACUACCCAACUUUUCGAUUUAUUUGAUUUCAGUUGUCAACGACACUUUGACCUUAAAAUUUAAACGCAUUUUGUAGAUUUAGUUAGUAUAAUUCAUGUAACUUGCGCUACUAUACAUUUAUUAAAAUAAAUAAUAGCUUAGAUUUUUAAGAGAAUUAUACGAAUUAUUCUGUGUCGUUAGAUAUAUUUAGUUAGUACAAUCCAAUCUUUUUCUUUUUUUUUUUUCUUUUCUUUCACUAUACGCAUUCUUUUCUGCUACUGCACCCCUCCCUUGCCCUUUGCCACAACUGCCGCCCCUAUCCAGACGUGCUCUCUCUCUCUCACCGUCGUCCUCAAAUACCGCAACACCCUCAUCACCGUCACUAUCACUGUCGUUGCCACCGCUCAUGGCUACGCCCUCCACCAAAGUCUCACCUCAACAAUCUAUACUGCAUUAACUCCGGCGUCGGCGGAGGUGUGGGCAAAAUAGGAGAGAGAAGCACGGCAUUAACAUGGAGGUGGUGGAGGAGGGAAGGGAAGUGGGAGGAGAAAGAGAAAAAGGAACAGCGAAGAGGCAAGAGAAAAACGAAUUACAGAGAAAGGCAAGAAAAAGAGGAAUAAAUAUAUUUUGGUUAGUUUACUAAAAUUCAAUUCUAAUUUGCAAAACUUAAAAAAAUGAUAUAUUUUUGCAGAAAUGCAAGACCAAAAAAAUGAUAUAUUUUUGCAGAAACGCAAGACCAGUGACUUCUUUAUGCAAAUUGGCCAGUUAUUACUAAAUUAUUUAUCUNGAAAUGUGAAUCAACUAUGAUUCGAACUUGGGACCUCAGUACCAACCAUCAAGCCUUUCGCCACUUGCUCUAGGGAUGGUCGGUGAGAAGAGUUAUGAAUGCGGUGAAUCAUUCACCGCAUUUAGAGGUCUAUUUUUAUAAUUAUUUUUUAAAAAAAUUUAUUUUUACAAUUAUAAAAAUUGAUAGGAUUAUUUAUAAAAAAAUUCUUUUAAAAGCACAAAAACAUCUAUGCUUAUAAUUUUUUAAUCGUUGAAUCGUCUCAAGAUUCGUACAGUACUAGUAAAAAAAAAAAUCUUAAUAGGAUACACAAUUAAUAGUACUAUAAAAAUUUUGAGUCAAUUCGACGGUUAAAAUCACAAGCACAGAUAUUUUUAGUUUAAAAGUACACUAGUGUAGUUACCCGCACGAUGUGACGGGUAGAUAUUAUCAAAAUAAUUAUUUUUUUUAGUCAUUGUUGAUCAUCGAUAAUAUUUCAGAGAAGUAAGCCUAAAAUAUACAGUUCAUCAAAUAUAUAGAAAAUAAUACUCUAAAUAUGAAAUGAAGAACGUUAGUUUAAAUAGUUCGCAAGAAUUGGUAAAAAACUACUAAAAAUAAUUUUUUAUAUGUAUUCACUCAACAAUCUAUACAAUUAAACUCAAAGUGAAGAAAGUGAUUAAACUAUAAAAAAAAGAUAAAUACACGUCUGCAAGAUAUAAAAUCUUUAGAAUUAAACAGUAUACAGGAAACAUGAAUAACGUAAACAAUCGUACAUACAAAUAAAUCACAAAAUAUGUCCAAAAUUUAUGGGUUCUCCCUUGUGUAGAGGAGCAAUAAGGGUACCAAAAUUUUGAGAUCCUCCUUGUCGAUGAUGUUGAACCUUUGGCGAAAAUACUUGUAAAGAACCUCCCAAACGACAUUUGACACCUUGUUCCCCACCUCAAGGAUCCGAUCUAUAGAGUCGAAAAUUAGAUCGAUCAAAGACAAAAUCAAUAGAAAAUAAUGCGAAACCUUACCAAUUCGAGGCGAUUUUGAACCGUGGGCAAGAUUUGCCAAAAUUUCUUGAGCAUACGUAGAGAGAGAGAUUAGUGACGGAUAAAUAUUACUAAUAAUUCAAUAGAGAUGAGACAAUUAUAUUAACAAAAUCUCUAAAACAAAAAAAAAAAAAGAAUAUUAGUAAUUUAGCAAGGUUUUUAUCAAGAGUCUUGAUGAACUGGUUCAAAGUGGGGAGCACUUUCAACCUCUGCUUGAGAAUUCUACUUUGUCACUGGAUCCGCACCACCUUCGGCCACUUCACGAAGCAAAUGAAGUCCCUCUUCAGCUAGAGAGCUCUGUCGAUCCCGAAGAGGAUCAUUCCAUAACACCACUUUGAGUAUAGCUUUGGAGGGUACAGAAGAGGCAAAAAUCCUAAAAGGAGUGUGAGAGAUAAAGAAGAUAGGGUUUAUAAAAAACGUGUGGAAAAAGUACCAACAAAUCUCGUAUGGUCUCGACCAUUGAAUAUAUUGAUGAGGAAAUGAUCGGUUUAUAUCGAUCGUUCAAUUGAAAAUUGUAAGGGUUUGGAUUAAAACUGAUGUGUGGUGUCUCUUUUGCAAAGACUCGUAGUGGUUAGGGAAGAUGGGGAGUUACAGAAAAGGGGGAAGACGAAGGGACACAGGAAGAAGAAAGGAAAGGGGAUGACACAUGAGUUAUAUAGAUGGUUGUGGAGAAGAAUGAGGAGUUAUAGAGAAGAGGAAAAUGAAGUGACACAGGGAGGGAAAGAGAAGACGGAGUCACGGGAGUUACAUAGAGAGAGAGGGUAAGCAAGCCAUCUAAAUGAGAAAAAAAAAACUCUUAAAGCAAGGAUGUUGCGCCACAUCAGCAAAAUUAUUGGAAAAUAAUAUAUGUUUAUAUAUAAUUAGGAAAUAAUAUAUGUUUAUAGAUGUUGCGCCAUGUCAGCAAAAUUAUUGGAAAAUAAUAUAUGUUUAUAGAUGAGCACAAUUCAUAUCUAAUAUUGCCCUUCAAAACUUUCAAAAUAUCUAACAUAUAUCUUAUUAAUCAAAAUACCUUUAUU
rnacentral:lncRNA from 1 species